rnacentral:lncRNA from 1 species
UUUUUUUUUUUUUUUUUUUUGUAGUGUAUGUCAUUUGGUUCUUGCAAUUCUAUGUCUUUCUAGAAUUCCGGUAAAAUAAACUGUGGAAUGGAAAUUUCAGUUUUAGCACUUAGAACCCCCAAUUAAAAUAUAAUGAACUUCAUAAAGAACGUUCAUUACUAUAAUUUUUGGUCUUCCUUUUCCUAUCCUUUUUUAAUGAAUUUUCACGGUCUAAAAACAGAUGUAGUAGGAGCUCUUCUCCAUUGUAAAGCUGAAUUUGCACAUCAAUAAAAUGACAGUUGGCUUGCGAAAAAAAAAAGAUUUCUAAAAGGUUAGUCACAGUUAAAAGUUUGGAUAGAAUAAGGGUGCGUUUGAUAAAAUUGAAAUUUGAAAACUGAAGUCUGAAAUCUGAAAUAUGAAAUUUGAAUACAUUAAGUUAUUGAAUUGUUAAGUAUUAAAUCUAAUAUAUUAGAGUGCAUAUCACACGAUCAGUAAAAAGUGAAUAACUUAUCACUUAAUUUUGAGAGCAAAUUUUGUCUAGAAAUUCAGUGCCACCUAAUUAAUUCAGAUGUUCAAUUUUUGGUUAUCAAACGGUUAUCAAGCCGGACCUAAAUGUUUAACACUUCCAUUACUUAUAAACCUUUUGUCUUAACUCAAAAAUUUGUCUUAAUAUUCGUGUAUUAUUCUUGCUUCUUUUUUUUUUUUGCAUUUCUUAAUCAAUUGUAUCAUAUGGUAUAAUGAACUCAAUCAUUAAUUAACUUAUUGUCUUUCCAAAUCAAAUAUUCAAAUAUGAUAUUUAACAGUGAACUCUGAUUAUCCUGAAUUAAAAAAGUUCACAACGUGAAACAUCAAUCAUCAAUUAUUAAUGGCCUGACGGGAUAAGAAACAACUGAGAGCAAAACAGUUCGUAUACUCCCACGUAAGUAUGUAAUAUAAUUUAUGCCGCGUCAUAAUCUAAAAUUCCACAUAGUUCGGAGUGGACAACGAACUUCUAACAGCUGGGAUGGAACCGCUUUUCCACUUUGGGGAGUCGACUAGUGCAUUUAUGACUAUGCUCAGGCGGUCAUAAGAUGGUAAAGUGGCCUCACUUUGGCCAUCGGAUAAGCUAUCUUUAUAUUUUUUUCAUCCAAAAAUAAGAAAAAGGAGAGUAGAUAGAUUUCUUGAGGAUUCUCCAAAAGCAGAAAAGGAGUACCUGUUCAAAUGGAGGAGAAGCAGCUGGAUUAUGUUCUGGUGCCUCUGGGGAUGUUCAUAUUCCUGGUUUAUCAUGUUUGGCUGCUUUACACCAUUAUAUACAAUCCCAGGAAAACUGUUGUGGGACUCAAUGCUGAAAGCCGUCGAAAUUGGGUUUUCUCCAUGAUGAAUGUUAGUUCCUCAACCCUCUAUCCCACUUUUUCUUUCAUCAGACAUGUUAUAUGCAUGUGAUGUUAAUUAUAUUAGCAAUUAUCAGGGAAAAGUAGUAAUAUAUCUUUUGGUGAUAGUUAGGAGUUUUCGCGUGUUUUUCCCUUGUCUGCUGUUUAUGAUCGUAAAUGGGGUGAUAGGGAUUAAAGUGGUUCGGCUGCUUUAUUCUAGUAGAAAUUAUGCAAACAGGCACAUAUGCUUAUUUUACACGCAUGCUUGUGUGCUUGAAAUUAUGCUGGAUGAUUGUAAUUCGUACUAAAAAUUCUUAUACUGAUGGGUCCUGUCAUCGAUGGGAUGUUAUUUCAAGAUUUGCACUGAUGCCCUCCACGUUUAGGUAUGAUCUUUUCGUCUAUUAUUGAUGUCAGCUUAUGUUUCUAAUUUCCUUUGAUUUCCCCUCUUCUGAAUUGUCCUCAUUAGUUAGUGUUCUACCUUUACUUUGAUCAUGUUGCCCAUGAUUUUUUUGAUCAUGUUGCCCAUGAUUUUUCCUUUCUUAGUGAGUUAAAUGGGAUGGAGGAUAAUUGAUUUGAGCAUAUAGAUCAAGGGCAGGUGAUGGGGAAGGGAAGGGAAGCGAUGAAAGCAAGUAUUUGAAAGUGGUGGUGGCCGCCAGGAGAAGCAAAUGCUCCUAUUGGUUCAUAAUGGAGUUGAAAAACAGAACAAAGAAAUUUACUCCUGUUGCUUUUUGUCAAAAAAUAGUCUUUGCUCCUAUAAAAUGAGCUUGGAUUAAACUAUUUUUAUCUUAUGUUAUUCAGGAAAAACAUUUGUUUCAAAUCUUUCGUUGAUACAUUGGUCGAUGCCUCAUUCAUUAACAUCUUUAACCCAAAUGCUGUCUUCUUAACCUUAUUGAAAAAUCAAUCGCAAGAAAGAUUGAUGAUUAUCAUCAAAGGGGUUGAUUACGGGCUAGAGUUUCUGCAUACUUUUAUUGGGUUCUUCAAAGUCAAAUUAUGAUGCAACAUAGCUGCUAAAUUGUCAACAAAAAGCAGUCAUAACCUACAUAAAAUUCAGCAGGCUGAACUCCUAUGGAACAUGUUUACGACUGUUUUGGAUCCCAAUUUAUAGGCUUGACAUAAUAUUCAUUUACAAGUAACUUCAGUAAAGUCUCGAUAGGUAGUUUUCAGAGAGCGUACUUGGGCAAUUUACCUCAUGUUAAGGUAUCAAUCUUAAAGCGGUAUAUAAUCCUUUUUUUGGUUGAAAUUUCACAUAAGAAGCACACCCCACUCUUUUUUUUUUUUAUACCCUUCCAUCCCUCCCCACAUCCUUCCUACCCCCAGGACAUCCCGCUCUUGCAAGUGCACCACCCACCCAGGAAAAAGUCCAUUAUAAGGAUAGCUUUUACCCUUAUAUUAGGUAGUCCAUUACUGAAAGAUUGUGUUCCACAUAUUUAUGACACAUUCCCCUCUUCAUUGUCUCUAAUCUUUAAUUCUGUUUCCCAGCUUGUCAAAAUGGAUAACAUGUGAUGAGAAUAGUAGGUCGUCUUUAGUUUGGCAUUAUUUAUCAGAAUUGAUUCAUGUAAAGUGUUUGCAGGAUCCACUUAAGAAUGGUGUUUUGGCAGUCCAAACUUUACGCAACAACAUAAUGGCAUCAACUCUAUUGGCAACAACAGCUAUUACUCUUAGCUCUCUGAUAAGUGUCUUUGUAAGCAAUGCCUCAAAUUCUUCGUCUUCAAAGUUAGUUUAUGGAAAUAAGACUUCAUUUUUGUCUUCUGUCAAAUUCUUUUCUAUCUUGCUUUGUUUUCUUGUUGCUUUUCUUUGCAAUGUGCAGUCUAUUAGAUACUAUGCACAUGUUAGCUUCUUAGCUACUGUGCCUACCUUCAAGGACCAAAACGACUGUAUUGAGUAUGUUGCAAGAAAUUUGAACAGAGGAAGCUUCUUCUGGUCACUUGGAUUAAGAGCAUUUUAUAUGUCAUUCCCUCUUUUCCUUUGGAUUUUUGGACCUAUUCCCAUGUUUGUCUGUUGCUGUAUGAUGAUAUUUCUUCUUUACUUCUUGGACACAACUACAAGCUUUACGAGAGAUCUCCACUGUAAGUCGAUCAAAGAGGAAGCAAUAGCCAAUGAUGUGGAAUCAAUUCAUCAUUCAUUGUAGUGGUUGAGAAGUAAAAGGCCCCUAGUUGGUCAUGAGGUUUUUGGAGCAUAGCCAAUCAAAAAAUGUCUUGUAUCUGUACUAGAACCUUUAGUUUCAGUGUAAUAUUUUCCACAGAGAACGACCAAGGUGCUAUGUAAAUAGUUCUUAUCAACUGAUCUCUUGGUCAACAAGAUGCUAUUCAAAUUCCGCAUGGUUUUCAUAUGCUUCAAUUGAACUUUGGCUAUUUAUAAAAUUGUUAUCAUCCUCAUGAGGAGAAUUAUUUUUGAGACUUUGAGUAUAGCAGGCACGUAUUUUCAGAGUGAGCUUGGUGACUUCCAUGGAAUACACUCAUUUUUCAUUCACCAUGCAUUAUAGACAAAUGCACAUAUAUUUUCCAGUUAGUAUCAUGCAUAAAAUUAGGCUCCAAAAGAUGGCUUAUUCUUGUUUUCCUUGGUUGAGAAUGCUCCUAAUUGAUGAUGUGCUGACUGUUUUUUUUUUUUUUAAUAUUGUGAGAUUUUCUUCCUUUUUCCUUGGGUAUUAACUCUAGGACGUGGAAAGUGAGGAGGAUCCUGCUGUUUUUUUUGGUUGUCAUCCUAUAAUAUAUUUAGGUGCUUGAAAAUGCAGCAUAUCCUCUGAAACUAGACAUUCUACCGGGAACUGAAUUGGUUUUGGAUAACAAUGUCUUGGGUUAAGAGUCAAGACUAUGAAACAUGGUAUCAGGAGGAAAGUUUAGUAGCAUCUUUGCUAAUUCAUGUUCUGUAUUCACUGGAGAGAGUUUCUUUUCCUUAUAGAACCAGAAGGAAAGUUUCCUGACUGACUGUGGGUGAUUUAUUCUGUCCGGUGCUAUAGUACAAUAGAAACACCAUAUGCUUCUUGCUUUCUGAUGCUUGAAGCUCUAUAUCAACCGAUAGUUUUUCCUUCACUGACAGCAGCAUAGAACCAUAGGUGAGGGUGAACAUUUUAUCGACUGGCUUGAACCCACCCUGGGAGUAAUGAAAUCCUUAUGAUCUGACGCAUGAAAUUAAUUCUUUCUGUUGUAUUGUGAACGUUUACAGAUGUAAAGACAACCUUAAGGUGUAUAUUGAUAUUGAAACGGACUGAUAAUGCCUUUUUCUUCUCUUUGUAAACUUUUUGCCCCAAAUUUCUCGAUUACUUGCUUCAUAUUUUUCGUUUGUACGUUACUCCAGUUACUUAAUUUGUAUUACCUGGUUGAAAGCGGGCGUGGCAUGAAAUGUAGAGGCCUUCUACGUUGGAUGUUGGGUUUUGAACCCUUGUUCCAAUGUACAAUAAUCUUCCGAGGGUGUGUAUUUGGCUUGAACGGGACAGAAGGGGUUGGAAACCUCUCUGACCAUAAUUGCUGGUACAGCAUGUCUGCAGAUUGUCCAUGUUUACAGGGGUUAACCAUGUGUGCCAAAUUGACUGGAACAGGACAUUUGAGCCCCUGAAAUGACAUCCGUACAGUAUGCUUUUGUUUGUGUCUUUUGCUAUUUGUCGCUGUUUCUGUGUUUUUUGAGCUCAAAUUCAGACCAAGUAGGAUGUGGUUCUUUGAUAACAGAAGAAAGACAAUUAGUCGCGUUACGUCACAAUAUUUGAACGCAUACCGAAAUAUCCCAUGCUUUACCAACUGUGUUUCUGCCUUGUAUUUAUGGGCAUGUUGGAUAUGUGGAGGCCUACAAAGGGUCUUGUUUCUUUGGUGAAAGCGAUGGAAACAAUAAAUUUCUUGAUUUUUGGUGCAAGAGAAGCCAAUAAUUAAUGCCCCACUUGAUUUUGACAAAUGAUCUGCCCCAUCUAAAUACGCAGAGACCAAAAAGAAAUGGACCACUUUUGCAUUUGUUGCUGCUAUUCAUCUUUGGCCUACAUUUGCCGUACCAGAUGAUCUGUCUAGCAUUCCAUCUUUGUGGUAAAAUAGAGUACACCAUGGUUCGAUAUUUUAAAGCAAAUUCAGAAAACCAUUUAUGGUGCCAUGUACCAAUGUCGCUAACAAAUUGCUAAACUGAUGCUGGUGGUGCUGCCGAUGUUGAUAGCUGACAGUGCCAUAAUGCAUGCAGUGCACUACAUUGAUCCAUCAAACCAACCCCCUUACAAUCUUUGAGUAAGUUGAUAGAACUGUUACUGUACCUUUACACUCUGUCUUGAUGAUGAUCUUGUUUUCUAUAUUUGUCGUUACCAGAGUAACUACCAGAUCUGUCUUCCAACUCCAUUGUGGAACUGGAACAUGUUGUGUUUUCUCAUUUCUCCUGUUUAUGUCCUUGUUGAUCAUUGAUGGCAUCAGCUGUCAAAGUGUCAACACCCAUAAUUAUUACUUGCUCUUUGUCAGAAUAUGAUCCUCUCCUUUGGUGCUUAUCUCCUACCUACACCUUUUGUCCUUGAGAUAGAAUGUUGGUACCGCUGCCAAUGCACUGAUUUUUCCUAGCAACCCAAAACUUACAUUUUAGUAAUAAAAUCCCACACCUGUGAAUAGAAAGGCAUGAAGAAAUAGGAUGUCCUCACCUGGAUAUGGAAAAUGUUUGCCGUGCAAAAUUUAGCAGCUUCUUCAACAACUUGGCUGCACCGUUGGAACGAGUUUUCUUUCUAGGAUCAUCCACAAGGCACUGUGUGUUUAUAAAUGCUUGCCUUCAGGUUGACUUUGGUUGAUGAGUGAUUGAACUACCUGACAUUGGUAGGACCUUGGUUAUUAUUGUUUGAUAUUGAGCUUCCUCCCUAGUUUUUCUUGGCUUCUACCGACUGGAAAGCCAGUCCAGCACCAGUCACUGGGUGUUUAUAAAAUACCUUGAUUGGAUGUAUGGGACCUGGUUUCAUUUGCCCAAGACAAAAGCAACAGAUUCUUGCAAAAUUAGUGUUCGGUCUUCGAUUGUUUUCAAGGCAUCCUGCAUAACUUUUUUGACAUAUAUUUUAGCUUGUGUUUAACUGGAAAACGCCACUGAUUUUGGUUUAAGGACCCUUUAAACCGUGUAAGACAGUUUUGGAGAAAUCAGAUUAAACCCACUUUUUAAGAGGCAUGGUGCAAGAAAAGUCCCUACAUGUAUUGAUGAACUAGCAUCAUUUUGUAUAACCUGUUCUCCUACCUGUCCUAGAAAUCUUGGCAGGGUGGUCUAAAAUCAAAUAGGGUUUUUCAUAAAUAUCAUAGAGGACAAAAACUAAUGGAAAAUACUCAGAGAUUGAGAUCAAAAUCUCCAUAUCUACCUAUAAAAUUGUAAUUUUACCUCUCACACUUCAAUAAAGUUGCCCCCACUAUACCACUAAACAAAAUCUAAGUAUUAGAGAAUUACCCUUUGCCUCCAUUGAUCCCAUCAAAAUCUCCAUACCUACAUAUAAAAUUGUAGUUUUGCGCCCAGUACUAUUCAACAAAACCUAAGCAUUAAAGAAUUACCCCAACCAAAAUCUGCAUAUAUGCGUAUAAAAUUAUAGGUUUGCCUCCAUACCUGAAUGAAAUCACCCUCACCCUCACCUAAAGUAGUAAUACACACUUUGUUUAUAUGUCUUUAUGUCCAAAUAAUUUGACAACACUUAAAAUAAAUUAUACCACCACCUUGUUUAAACAAAGAAAUAGAUUCCAUUUGCAUUUAUUCUUCUUCUUUAUCUAUUCUAAUGCGCUCCCGGUGCAAACCCAUUUAAAAAAAAACUUUUUCACUACACAUUAGAACUGACAAUUGCUCAUUUUUUAUUUCAUCUAAACAAAAAAUCCAGAUUAAAUUUAUUAGGGUUGUGAGAGGAGAAGUGGAAGAAUUCUUUAUUAGAAAUUUGAUAUUUGCUUUAUUACUAAAUUGGCGUAUAUUAUUAUAAUUAGUAGAUUGUUAGUUAAACAUAUUUUUUCAUAUCAUAAUUAGUAAAAUUUCAUAUAUUAACUUUGCCCCCACCGAAUUUCUUCUCUAGCUUCGCCCCCGAAAACACCCUAUCUUAACUAAAUUAAAAUCAUAUAUGGUCUCAAUGGAACAAGAACAAGCAAGAGAACCCUAGAAGUGUCAGUUGAUCUGUCAAUUUCAUUUUACAAUGCGGUGGGCCUAGUAUUGAAAGUUCUGGAGUAAUAUAGAGCCUCCAUGAUUUAGUUGUCUGCUUAUCCACUAUUCUUUGAGCAGUGAUCUUCAAGUGCUAAAGUUUGAAUUUAUCUAGCCAAAAAAAAAAAAAAAAUUGUAUUCUUUGUUGAAGAAAAUAGUGGAAAUUAUGCUUAGAAAUGUUCUUGGGAAAGAACGAUCAUUUGGGUAAAAUCUAACAGUAGACUAGUAUUUUUCACAACUGUUAUUAAAUCUAAACUUGUGCUAACGAAAUUCAAAAAGUUGAUGGGAAGAUCUUGCUUUGGUUAACCAGCUAAUGAUUGGUACCGACAGUCUGUGGUCAAUUUGCACGGGGAGAUAAGAUGAUUUAUUAUCUUAUCCAUAAAGCUAUAGGAAACCAAUUAAAGAAGAAAAGGACAAAAACCGACUACCUCCCCAAGACGUUGCUUCCAAAAGUAAAACAGCAUUUUGGUUUGUGUUUCUCAAGUAUGAAUUUUUUUUUAUUUUUUUUUUUCAAGAAUGGACAAAAGUGAAAAAAAACUCAUCUAAUGUGAGAUUGGUGGGAUUUAUCAGCCCUUGUCCCAUGGUAUAUCUUGGACUAAUUUCAAUUUGUGCUUCCAAACUUAUACUCUUAUAUUUCAAUUUUAGACACUUUACAUUCUAAACUCUCGUAUUUAUAUCUUUUUAAGUCCAAUUGAUAAUGACUUUAGCAACAUCGAAGGAACGAAGGGCCGUACAAAUGAUUCACCUUUUUGCAUGACUAAUAGGGAUUGUGAGAUGAUGAUAUUACACUGCUAUCCAGUAAAGUGGUUUAGGUUCAUGUCGUGUGCAAGUCCUCUAUUCUGUUAGUUUGCUAUGACUAACGUCGAUCAAUAGGAUUUAAGUGAGACAAAUAUGAGAAGUUAGAGUACAAAGUGCCCUUAAAAUUGUAAGUCUAGGGAUGCAAAAUGAGAAAGAAGUACAAGUCCAAGAGUACGAAGUGGAAAUAAUCCUUAAAUUUUUAGUAUGGGAUUGAAGUUUUACUUCAUAUAUAGGAGAAGGUGGAAUGAUUUAUCGCCUUAUUAAGAAACCAUCUUAUUAAGAAUUCUUCAAUAAAUAUUAUACAACGUCUUUUGAGAUUACGAAUGUAACGAACUAAAUCGUUUGGAAUAGAAGCAUAUUCCUUAUUUUGAAACCCUUUUACCAAACACCUCCUUUAGUCUCCGCAUAGUCAGAUCUCAUCUGACUCGUGUAUGAUGUUUUUAACAAAAAGUUUUCUUUUCGUCUGGGUUUUUUUUCUUUUUUAGGGGUUUUCUAGAUUCACAUUUCAUGUACUAAUGUACAACUUGAAAUCUCAACAUCCUAAGGUAUGUAUGUCGUGUGCAUCUAGUUUUAAGUAAAGGGCUGACAGAAAUUGUUGAAGGACUUGCCCCUUUUGUGCAAUCAGUGAAGAAAUCAAAAUGUCACAAAGAAGUGCGGAAUUAGGUUUCUCUUAGGAUUUGUUUAUUUAUUGAUUUGUUGCUAUGAUGUGAUAUGCUAUGACAAACAGAUAAGAGUGGAUUUAGUUUGUUUUCUCCUUUCACUGUUUCUACAGAAAAGUGAAGAUUUGGCAUAUCUUUUCUCUUCUAGACUUCUAAAAAUCCUUCCUACUUGUAAAGAUAACAGCCACCAUGCAAUUUUCCGAGAACCAUCCAUCCGUUUCAAAUCUAAACUAGACUUUUGUAGAAGAUCAUUUCCUACCAUACAAAAAUGUGGAAAUUUUUUUUUUUUUUUUUUAAAACUUAGUCUCAUAAUAUGUAGUCAAUUGGUCAUAUACGAUAAGAAAGGGGUACAUUCGAGUUCCAUCUGGAGCUUGGAAUUGUUCAGCCAGUCUCCCCUGUCAAGGACCAAGAGGGAAUUAGAUGGUCAAUCAUGAUAAAAAUGAAUCAGGAUCAUCUCAUCUCAUCCGAUCCAAGUGGUAGGGUCCGACGUUGAAUACCAAUUCCACGAGCAUGUCCCCCAAUUUGGCCGCAUCCAAGGAGAAAAAUCUUGAGGCACAUUCUGCUUUGGUGGCUACUUGCUACAACUUUAACUUAAAGGUCUGCAUUGCUAUACACUUAUUUGCCUAGAAAGGAACAUUUUCCCUGGCUCUCACGAAAUAUUUUAUGGUCUAUACUCAAUUCUGAUAAUGGAUAUUCCUAAACAAAUGUCCAUUCUCAGAAGGCUAAUGAGAACAGAAGAAAAGAGAUAGAGGUCGAGAUAUCCUUCCAAAAAAUAUCAACUGAAAAAGGGGCUCUAAUUUAGAAGAGAGAGAGAGAGAGAGAGAGAGAUUGUGCUGAGCGACCAAAAUUGCAAAAACCAAUUUGUCUGUAUGUGUAUGAUAAUAUUCUUGCUGAUUAGAUUUAGUCCGCAGGAAAAUCAUUCGAAUAAGGAUGUUUAAAAUAUCGGUCUGUCUAACGAAUAUCCUGUAAGCACUCGUUAACAUGUAUUUCAGGUGUUAGAUUUUUAAAAAUAUAAGAUUAAUUAGAAAAAAUAUAUAAAUAUAAGGAAAUUAAUUAGAAAAAUUAUAUAAAUAUAAGAGAAAGUAAUAAUCAUUAGUGUGUGUGUGUAUGUACACAAUAAAUUGGGUAGAAUAUAGGUAUGUUAACGAGUGCCACAUAACAUCUGUUAAAAAAAACCCUUAAAAUAACAUGGCUAAGUCUACCUCUGUCAAACAGAUAUUGACUUAUCUGAGUAUUUAUAGUAAUUCUCACGUUAUACUUGAAAUGGCUAAAGUUGAACUUUGUUUUCAAAAUAAUAAAACCACCUUGUGAGUAUUUAUCUUAGGAUUAAUCUUGCAUGCACAAUUUGGGCAUCUGGAAAUUUUCUUUUGAUCUUUAUAUUUUAUGAUCACGUUUCUGUUUUCUUUUUUUUUUAUCAGUUAUUUUGGGGUUUCUUUUUAGAUGGUUUCUUUUUGGGAUUAAGGAUGUAUACUUUGUUGUUUUGCAUUUUUAUUUCUGACUUUGAGACAGAAGAUGGAGUCUUCUGCUCACUUAUAGGCUUCAAUUGUAACUGGCUCGGAGUUUACAUGUUAUGGAAUGUGAUGUAAUAUUCUUCAAGAAUGAGAAAACAUCCAACAAAUUUCAGUAAGGCACGAAGAUGACAGCUAAAAUGUCUUCUUCAGCUCCUCAAUCUUUGAUUAAGAAAAAAUUAGAUGAGUUGUACAAAAUGCAAGCAUAUGAAUGUCAAGAUUAAUCUAAAAAAUAGGGAAAGAAUGAAAAUAAAAAAAUAAAAAGAUAGGUAGAAAAAAAAGGGCAUAUUGGAAAGUGUUAUUAUCACUUUAUCCCCUUAACAUUCGGUGCCACUAUCAAUUUCCCCCUUAACGUUAUCUUUUAGUUACUUUACCCCCAAGACUAACGGUCAAAUUUAAUGGAGUUUGUUAAUUAAAGUAAAAGGACAAGUUUAACCUUUAAAGUUAUUAUCAUUUUACCUCCCCUAAACUAUAGUCUCAUUAUCAAUUUAUCCCAUAAAGUUAUUUUUUAGACAAUUUAUCUAACAAUUAAACCAACUUAGCAAGUUAAAAAACUUUAGAAAAAAAUACCCUCAUUUUUGUAUAAUAAAAAUAAUAAAAAAUUUAGAGUGGUUCUUCUCCUCUUUAGUAUAAAAAAAGUCAAAAUAUUAAUUUAUUUCUUUUUGGAAAAUUAAUAUUAAAAAAAUAGAAAGAUAGGGAGAGGGGGAAAGAGAGAUAGAUAGAGAGAGCUCAAUUCUUUUUUUAGAAAAUACAAAUAAGAAAGAAUUAAAUACUUUUAUUAUUUUAAAAUUAUUUCACUUUACUGUUUACCACGAGAUUUCAAUCCAAAUCCCAACAACCUUAAAUUAAUAUGAUAAUGUUAGACUUUUUUUUAUCUUUUUCUUUGCAAAAUCUAAUUUUCUGUCUCUUUUUUUCCUAUCUCUUUUUCUUUUCCUAAUAUUAAUAAGUGUGAAAAAGAAAUUUGAGAAAACCCUUUUAUUUUUAUAUUUAUGGAUCUCUUAAAGUGAAAAAAAGAAGAAUAAUCAUUCUAAAUUUUUUAUUUUUAAUUAUAUAUAUAAGGGUAAAUAUAUUUAACAAUUUUUGACCAUACUAGUUAGAUUAACGAUGAAAUAAAAUUCCAAGAAAAUAAAGUUAGGAAUUAAAUCGAUUAUAUCACUAUAAUUUAAAGGAAUAAAGUAAUAAUAACAAUGUAGUAAUACUAUAGAAUAAAAGGGUAUUUUUGUCUGAAAUUUCUUAACAUGUUGAAUUAAAUUACUUAUGGGGGUGAAGUAACUAAAAAAUAACGUUAUGGGGUAAACUGAUAGUUGUGAUACAGUUUAAGGAGGUAAAGUGAUAAUAACCCUAUUAGAAAUCCAAAACAAAAAAGGAAAAGAAAAAGAAGACGUGGAAAGACAUUUACUAACUGACAAGCGUCAGGCAGGUGUUAGUAAGUAAAAUGAUACCUGUCGUUUCCCAGAGGGCUCACAUUGCUGGUCCGUCUCCGCCAUUUCCAAAUCUAGCAAGCAUUGACCCCACCUUCCUCCAAUCAUUAGAAUCUUUACCUUCUUGGCAAAAUUCGCCCUCUUACAACUCAGAAAGGAUCAUUCUAUUUUCUAAAUUUUACAACUUCUUCUGCUACUUCAUUUGAGUUAUUUUACCAUUUCUAUUUUCACCACCUAGAGAAUACUGCAAGUUAUCCACCCACUCAUUAUCCCUAGACCCUAGUUCCAAUUCAUGCAAGUACUAGCAAUCCCUUCGUUAGAGAUGAAGUCACCAAAACGACUUGGAAGUGCAAUGUCCCAAUGUGACUAAUUAGUACUAAUAACUACCAUUAGAGAAUGAGACCUAAUUAAGCUUAGUGCAAAAAUGUGUAAGGUAGAUGGGGGAAAGAGUACAGUACUUUCGGCACGUAUCUUGUUCUGAUUUACUUUCUUUUCGAAUGAAUAAUGUCUGUUUUUUUUUUCUCAAAUGAAAUUUGGUUCAAAUUUUAGAUUGUUUAUUUGUCAAAUCAAGUUUGAACUAAUAUUUUAUUGAACUUGAAUGUUAAGGAAUAUAAAGCGUUGUUCAAAUUUGACUUGACUAAUCAGCGAAUCAAUUUCGAACGAGUUCUUAUUACAAUGAGUGUGACUUGACUAAUCAGCGAAUCAAGUUCGAACGAACUCUUAUUACAGUGAGUUUAAUUCGAACGAGUAUCGAAUAAUUUGGUUCAUGUUUUCGUCCAAAUAGCAAAAUGACAUCCUCCCUUUCCACCGAGGGCUCACAUGGCUGGUCCAGCAUUUCCAAAUCUAGCAAGCAUCGACCCCACCUUCCUCCAAUGAUUAGAAUCUUUACCUUCCGGGCAAAAUCCGCCUAUUUCAACUCAGAAAGAGAAAGCAUCAUUCUAGUUCUAAAUUUUACUACUACUACUACUGCUUCAUUGAGACAUUUUACCAUUUCUAUUUUCGCCCUGGAGAUUAUAAUUUAUCCACCCCCCUUAUUGGCCCUAGACCCUUGUUCCAAUUCAGGCAAGUACUAGCAAUCCCUAAGUUAAAGAUAAAGCCACCAAAACAACUUGGAAAUGCAAUGUCCCAAUGUGAUGGGUACCAAUCGGGGGCGGAGCUACACUCUCUUAAGAGGUUGCAAUUGCACCCCCUCAAAUUUUUGAAAAUUAUAAAAUGGCCUAUAAAAAAUUUUAGCUUUUUAGUGUUGCUUCACUUUUGCCCCUCUUGAAUUUUUAAAAUAUUCCAUCUAGCCCUAUAAUUGCCCCUCAAAAGUGUUGAAAUUUUCUAUAGUUGCUCUAAUUAUUCUUAAAAUCAAAGCUUCAAAUAAAAUACCAUGAUAUUUUUGUUCCUUUCUAAUAAAUCUUUUUUACUUAAAAUUGAGCUUCACUUAUAUGCCCAACCAUACAAGUUGAAUUACAUGCAAAUUUGAUAUUUAUUUAAUAUUUUAAUUGUGAAGAUUAUCUGCCUAUCCUAUCUAUUUUAGAAUGUACACCUUAUAAUUUUGUUCGUAAUAUUAACUAUGAUUUUAUACCAUUAGAUGACUAGAAAACUCCUGCACAUAGUAAAUAAUAAGCUAUAUAGACAAUGCUUUUUAAUUUUGUUGUUGUAAUACUGAAUAAAUUGGUUCAUGCCGAUUAAAUUUUUAAUAAACACUAAGUUGUACCAAAAGCUUACAAAUCACUUCAACCUAAAAUUAUUUCACCCUCUCAAUAAUGGUCCUAACUCUGCCAUUGUACCAAUAACCAAUAUUAGAGAAUGAGACCUAAUUAAGCUUCGUGCAAAAAUAUAAGGCAGACAAGAGAAAGAGUAUAGUAAUUUAGGCACGUAACUUAAUUUGAUUUCAAAUGAAUAAUAUCUUUUUCCUUUAAACAUAAGUAGGAGGUAUCAAACUUGGGAUCUUUCACUCACACCUUCUCACCCUAAAUCACCCAACUCAACCCUCUCCUCGCAAACUGAAUAAUGGCUUAAAUGUAGAGCAAGCCAGCAAGGUCUGUACAUACAUUUUUUCAGGUUCCAAACGAGAAUUGCAAUUCCUCAUACCAUAAGAGUUGAUAAUAGUAUCUUAAACUCUAGAUGCUAGUAAACAAUCUCAAAAAUAGAAUUAUCAAAGACGAAGGCAUAACAAAUACUAAAAAAGGUUUUUUGAUAAACGACAAAAUUUCAUUACAAUAAAUCUAUAUUAAUAUCAAAGAACAAUUAAACAUGCAACAAGUAUAAAUAGAUUUGUAAUCUACAACAAAUCUGAAAAAUCAACAGGGAUACACUAUAGAACUCCAAGAUAUCUUUCAAGAUCAAAUGAUUCACUGGAGCCCUAACAAUAAAAGCUUAUUAAUUUUAUGUGAUUGCCAAGUUACACUUGAUCACAUGCACAUCUAAUCUUUGCCUCCUACUUUAAAGCUUCUAUUGUCAUCAGAUGAUAACACAUAUCCUUGGUCCAACUAAGGGCAUCACUGAAGCUUUUUGUGAUUUUUGUAAGAUGAUUUUUAGAAGAAAUAUGAUUUAUAAGUAUUGGCUCUAUGCCAUAAUAUGCUUUUUUGACAGCUUUUAUACCAAAAAAAAGGAAAAAAAAAAAAAGAAGUUACUGCUAAAAAAAAUGCUUACUGGAUUUUAGGAGCUAAGCCUGAUAUAGGAGUUGUUUGCAAAGCGUAAAAAAGAAAAAAAAAAGGAAAAAGAGUUAACUUCCAUAUAUGAAGCAGGAACAUCUAGGGCACUUUAUGAAGGAAAAUUUUUUUUUUUUAAAAAAACACAGUGUGCAGAAUUAUAUUCCACAUAGGUCCACUUCCUAAACAAGGGAUUCUUUUUUUUUGGAAGGUUUUUAAUCUGAAAUCCCGGAUCAACCUUUUUUUUUCUCUUUUGUUGUGUUCUAAUCCUAAAAAUGGAAAGAAAGGUAAGUAGUUCAUUUGCAAUCAUAUGCAGAAAGUAGUACUUAAGUCACAUUAGUUCCUAUCUGGAAUGACUUCAUAACAUCUAGAUGAUUUCAAGGAACGUAAUUACAUUUAAGUUCAAGAAGGAAAAUAAUUUUUGCUAUAUCAAAGAACUUAAUUGUAUAAUGCACCCUGUAUCUCAUGUAAACAUUCUUCAAAAAAGGUUCCCUUCAUGAUUCCUCUCAUGUUUACAUCAUAGUUACCAUACAUCUCUGGUAUUCAUUGCUAACAACAACAAAACAUCUCGGAUUCGCCUAUUUUAAAGAUAUAUAUAUAUAUAUAUAUAUUUCAAUUGGGGGUGUCCCAGACUUUAUUUGGCCAGACUAAUUCCCUAAGGCUAGUACAGCCCCGCCCAAGGAUGCCUAUGUUAAAGAUAUUUGAUAUUGAGAAUUUGACAUUGCUAACAUAUCCUAUUUUGUGAUUUUCUGAUUCUGCUCUUAAUUACAUGCCCGGAGAAGAUUUUCAUAAACUAUUGCACUAUAAAAUCACAUUUCUAACUAGCUUAACAUUGAAAUCACAAGCCAAACUUCAAGACAGAAUUACAAGAUGUUGCCUAUUCAUACAUACUAAUUACUAAGUCCCCAGUUUGCUGGCUAAAAUCACAUGCUAAUUGAAUAUGAUCGUGAAUACAUCUAUCUUUACAUGUGUUAUCUGAACGACCAUUAAGCUCUCAAAUCCAAUGAAUCAUACUAGCUAAGAAUAAAUCCAUAAAUCGUGGUUUUUCAAUAUCUAGUCUAGUUAAAGCUCAAGGACUUUCUCAUUGUUAUGAAAUAGAUAAUCAUAGUUGAUUUUCUGAUUCAGAAGGAACUAAGAUCGUGACACCUAUGACUACCAUAAAACAUCCUUGCCUAAAUUUUCCAGCCCCAUUAACUAAUAUAAGCAUUACAUUUCUUUUGUAAUUUUUAAAGAUGAAUUGUAUGCAUUAUAUAUAGUCUUCCUUCCAUUUGGCAACAAUUAAGCUUUAAGAGUAACAUGGCCCCAAUUAUGCUAUCAUUUCUUAGAAAUAGAGUGAUUUCAAAAUAUAUUCCUAGUUGGCCCUCCAAUAUUACGGACCACAUGUGGCAAGUGGUACUGACUUUUGUCAGAAUCACUUCAGUUAAGAUAUCUACCAUGUCAUCAAUGGGUUUGAACCAAAACAGCAGAGAAAAAGCUCCUCAGAUACAAAAAAAAAACAAUGAACGAGAAAUUAAUUCCUUCAAAUGGAAAUGACCUUAAUAGUGGAGACAAACUCUCUUCCUAUCCAUAUCCAGCUUCCAGCCUGUUGAAUUCGCAGCUGGUUUCUACUUGUCCUUGCCAAAAAAAUGCUCCUGUAAUUGGUAGCCAAUUUGGACAAAUAUGUCUUAAGUGAAUGAAGAAAUUAUCAAGAUGAAAAUAGAAUAUGUUGAUAUAUAGCCCAUAUCAAGAACUUCGUUAUGUUAAAAUUUACUGCUCUCUCGGUCAGGAAGUGAGGGGGAAGAAAAUACUAACUCACAAAGGAAAUAUAUCAACUAUGGCCACAAGAGAUGUGCUCAUCAGAAAUUAUAACCUGCUUCUUGAUUACAAAUAUUCCGGGCAUGUUACCGCUCCAGCUCGGUCAAAUUUCUCCAAAAAACCCAUAUGAUUUUGGUAACUAGUAAUGCAAAAUCAUAAAGAUGAAUCAAAUAAGCAUGAGAAUACGUGUUGGCAAAGAGGCAAAGCCACACUAAGCGAGGAUUUUAAAGGGAUUUCUUGAUUAGCCAUAGAGAAACCAAUCAGAAAUUGCUAAGUCAACAUUAAAAUAAAAUUAAGUCCAUUUGUUCCCCAAGGAAGGGAUAAAAGAAAAAUCAAAUUCCCCAAUGAAAUCAUGACAACACAGCAGAGGAAAUGUAUCCAUUGAUCUAGCACUUUCCAAGAUAUGGGAAUACAAGGAAGCCCAGAUUCAUUUACCUCCAGAUCUUGUUCAGAUAUCAUGACUCAAAAACAGCAUAAGAUAACAACACAGAGGCACAAACUGUGACAUUAGACUGCCGUAGCAUGCAAUAAUCCAAUCAAUGAAUCCCUUUUAUCCCUCAUCCCAACUCGAAAAGGAAAACCAAGAAAGCAAAACACAAAAUUGUAAAGUAUAUGAAGAAAAGAUAGAAAUUCUCAAGUCUAUGACCAUGUGGGGGGAAAUUCAACUAAAAAAUCUGGGCAAGAAUAUAAUUGUCUACUAGUAGUCUACUGCUAACUAGCAAGAUAUACAUACCUGAAGCUAGAUAGCUAGUUGAGAAGGAUAGAAUGAUGAAAAGCGGUAGAGGAAAAAACUAAAAAAAUGGGGAGAGUGAGCGGCUGAAAAUGAUGACAGAAGCAUAGAGAGCACAAAGGAGUGAGAUGCAGCAAGACUCCAUGCAUUUCAUCAUCUGUGCUCUCUAUCUUCUGUCAACAAAAUCACCUUUACCUUCUUCUCCCAUCCUUAUAAAUAUAUAUAUAUAUAUAUUUUCCUUUUUAAAUUCCUUUAAUAACUCUUUGCACCAACAGCAGAAAAAAAAAGUUGCAGCUGCUAGCAGCAGCAACAGCAGAAGUUGCAGUAGGAAAAGAAAGGAAGGAAGUAGUUGCAGUAGCAGUACCGUUUGUUCUAGAGGGGACUAGUAAUGAGAAAGAGCCGGAUGAACAGAGAUUGAGAGAGAAAGAAAGGGAAAGAGAAAGGAAGAGUUUGUUUGGUUUGGAGUGACCUAGCCAGGCUAUAUCAGGGGCCUCUUUGCGCCUCUAUAAAUAGGAAAGAAAGUAAAAGGAGGGGCAGAAUACCCCUGGUAUUAAGGGUACCACAGUACCUGUCUCAUAUGUACUACCACUUAUCUUUCUUCUUGUAACCGUUCUUUCUUUCACGAGGUGAAUGAAGGAAAGGACAUUAGUACACUUCCCACAGUUAACUUCUUUUACUCUAACAACCCUAGAUUAUCCUUCUUAGUCCUUUCUUUCUUAUUCACCUUGCAUGCUUUGCGCAUCCAAAUUUACUAUUUUGGAAUUAGAAAUUACAGAUUGUUACCAUCCAAUCAUCAUCAGAUGAUUGUGCUCUUUGAUUAUGAUAUUUUUACUGUACAAUGUACGAACUAGGAAUUAUCUGUCAAACUAACAGACUUUUACCUUUUCAACCUGAUCAAUAGUACUCUUCUUAUCCCAAAUUAAAAAACAAUAUAUACAAAUCAAUGGCUCCCUUUGGUCAAAUAAGUUUAUAGCCAAAAAAGAUUUUUUUUCUAUUAUUCUCUAAAUAAGUUUUGAAUCAUUGUUUUGUCUUACAUACAUACGUCACGUCACACAAAAGUAUUAUAAUAAAUGAUUAAAUUUUUUUAAAAAUAAUCUUCAGCCCCAUCUUUUAUUUUGAUGUGGAGGUUAUUUGCACCUGACCAAAAAAGAAUUUUUUUCUAUUAUUCUCUAAAUAAGUUUUGAAUCAUUAUUUUGUCUUACAUACGUCACGUCACAAAAGUAUUAUAAUAAAUGAUUAAAUUUUUUAAAAAUAAUCUUCAGCCCAAUCUUUUAUUUUGAUGUGGAGGUUAUUUGCACCUGACUAAUUAGGCUCUGUUCUCCUUACAAAAAUGCAUUCCAAUUUUACAUAAAGGUUGCAUGCUCGGUAUAUGAUUUUUCUAUGUAUUCAUGCGCCAAGAAUUGGCCUAUUCAUAGGGUUUGUUUGUAUACGUCAUUAUUUGGGAAAAGAAUUUAUUAGAUCAUAAAUAUUUUUUUAAUCAUUUUUUAACUUUAAACCUAAAAUUUUUCAAAUAAUUUUCUAUCUAAAAUGCAGAGUUAACCCUUUUGAAUAUCGAUAACAUGUUUCUUGUCAUCAAAUAAAACGAAAAAGACUUACCAUUCAGCACUCGUCAUGUAAGUGGUAAAUUAUACUCCAUCUUUGUGGGUGGUUGCGGCUAGUUUCUGAUUCUCAUCAUCCAAAAGUUGAAUAACUUUGAAGUCACAAGGAAAUAUAGCUUCAGAUGGACGUUGAACAAUUCAUUAGUACAUUGCAUAGCCCGCUGUCCAAAUCCACAAAUCCUGCAGCAGCUUUAGUUGAUAUGUACUAGACGGUAGGAUUUCUUGCAAUCUUUCAUGACUUUGUCUUUAGAAUUCACAGCGAGUAGUCACUCACAUUUGGUGUUGGUUAAAGCAUGAAAUUCAUGCCAUAUCCAAGUAUACAGUAAGUUGUUAUGCAGAAAUCCUUCACAUGAGUCAUAAUCAAAUUAUAAUUUAUUUUAGGCAGAGAGUAAUACAUGAUUUUUCAGUCAUCCUCUGUGUAUGUUUUAGAUGAGAUUGGUGAUUCUUAACUAGUAUUUUGAAAGGCGUAUUUGGGAUUAGCCCUGGGGCAAGGCGCUCCCGAAUUGCCCCUGAGCGGUCAAAUGGGACAUUAGUGUCAUGGGGCGGGCGAGUUUUUUCUUUAAGGCGUAAAAAAACAUAUGCAUUUAAAAUACAAACACUUUUUUCCCUUUUUUUAAGCUCCAGAAGAACAUCCAACCUAGAUUUUCUCGUCCUUUGCUUAACGAAGUUGAGACCCUCAAUCUGAACUUGCAAUUUUUUGAAAACCUUUCUUAUGUAAGCCUACAAGUUUAAGUUGGCGAACACAAAUGUUAGUUUAGAAUUUAAUGAUGCAAAGGAGGUGAAAUUUUAGACUUUAUGCCUCACAUUGAGGAUACUCUAAAGAAAUAGGAGAAAGACAUUCGCUUUGAUAAUCAAAACUCACAAAUAUUAUUUACUAGUGCUCUGAAAAAAAGUUUUAGCAACUGUGAUCAUUAGUUUGCUGGAUGAUAUCAAACCUUUUAUGCAAUUAAUCAUCAAAAUUUACAAUAGUUUGUUGGGUUUCUACUCAUGGCAUGGCAUUGGUCAUAUAAGCAUGUUUUAUUUUAGUCACACAAACAAGUUUUACUUUUCUUAUGAAGGCAUAAGGUUACAAUUUUUCUUUAUUUUAUCUAAUCCUUUUUUUUGGUAUUUUUAAUAUUAUAACACACACGUGCAUGCAUAUAUAUAUAUAUAUAUAUAUAUAAUAUUUUUGUAUUUUUAUAUUUUUAAAAUAUUUAAAAUAUAAAUAAAAUUUAUGGGACUUACGCUCCAUGCCUUAAGGCUUUUGCCUCGUCUGGGUAGAUACGAAACGCGGUGCCCAAUGCCUUCACUUUUUAAAACACUGUUCUUUAACUUAAGGAAAAGAUCUAAUUGUUGUUCUUUCAUUAGCACCAAUUUUUUACCUUCUUUUCUAUAGUAUACCACCAAAGCAUCCUUUUAUUGUGCUUUGGUCAAUAUGCUGUCCUUCACCAUGAAUACAUCUGUUAAAAAAUUCCUUAUUGAUUACACUUUGACAUUCUGUUGUUCAAUGCUACCAGAAUAACAUGCAUAUAUCCACUUUUUCUUUUUCUUUUUAAUUUUUUUUUCUCUUGAAGAGAUCAAUUUAAUUUCUCAAAGCUAGUAGUUCUUAAUCUAAUUUUCUAAGAGCUUAAAUUUAUGUUUUCAUUUUGGAGAUUUCUAAUAGAUUUUUAAAUUGGAUACAUUUGAAUAGACCAAGAGUUCUUUUUUGAUACAACUGUCUAGCAACUCUACUGUCCAAGUUAUAUCCUUAUUAACUCAAUUAAGACGUAUAUGGCUGGAUAUAAAUUGAGAUUCUGGUAUGUUUUUGUAUGCGAUAAAUAAAAUGGGUACAAUUGGUGUCGUCUCAUUCAUUUGGGCAUAUGCUAAUGUUAUUAUACUCCUUACAAUUAUAAAUGACCGAUAAAAUCAUAUUUCUGUUAACAACGGUACGUGUUGGUCCAAAAAAAAAAAAACUAAAGCUUUAUUUACCAAAGAAAACACGAAUAGUUUACAUGUAUGUACAGCAUAUUGUCGCACUAGAGGGGAGUGCCCACAUAUCACGCAAGUGUUUGAUACCUGUAGUUAAAGAGAAUUUUUUAUUGAAUAAAUAAUAGUAUAUCCUGAAAAAAAAUAGUUAUCAACUAUGACAAAAUUAAUAAUAGCAUAUUCUAAUUGCAACACACACUUGUACACUUUAUUUUAUCAAUACUUUUACAAUUUUACCGUUUCUAAAAGGCCCCUACAGAUGUCAAUUGAAAAUCGUCCAAAAGCAGAUAUAAGCUAUCUCACAAAGAAAUAUCCUUCAACGGUUAGUUAUAGCAACGUGUUAAUUGCACAAUGUGUUAAUAUGUUUUUGUGUUAAUUGUACAACAAAAGCUGCACUUCAAUUAAAUGUGUUUAUAACAUCAUUUCAGUAAUUACACCGACACAUAAGCUUAUAUGAGUUCUACUCGAUGCAAAAACGGUUGCAAAAUAAUUUCAUAUUCCAGAAAUACUCAAAUGUCUCCAUAAAUCAAAGUUUUAAAUGUACGAGAAAUAAGGGCAUUUCAAUAAAUAUAUUUAAACACAUGCUGCCCUCGAUUGCAUCAAAAAUUUUAAAAAAACUACACAACAUUUCACAUUCCUAAAAAGCUCCUAUCUAUGCGGUUGAAAUUAAAAUCUCACUGUGACCACAACUUAUUCUUAUAUAGUACUCCCUCCGUCCCACUUUGAUAGUCCUGAUUCUUUUUUCACACAGUUUAAUAAAAAGUAGUUAACUUUGUUGGAACAAUCAAUUUAGGUAGCUAUUUUCCUAAAAUUCCCUCACAUUAAUUAGAGUACAACUUUAUGGGAACUUAAAUUGAUGGUAAAAAAAGAAUCAACUCUCAUUAAAUGGGGUAGGUUUAUAGUAACAACAACUUACAUUGAAUAAAGAUAUUUUAGGAAAAUUAAAAUACAACUACAUUCUUCAAUUGAAAAGUGGACUACAAUUUGGGACAGACGAAAAAGGAAAACAGGACAAUCAAAGUGGGACGGAGGGAGUAUAAGGAAAAAGAUACAGCGUAUUUUUUUUUUUGGUAUUUACCAAAGAAAACAUGAACAGUUUACGUGUAUGUACAGCGUAUUGUCGUAUACAGUCUAGUUUUCUUGUAUAUCGAGCCUUCACACUAUCUUUCAAGAUUUAAAACAAUAUUGUAUAAAUAAUAUUUUAGAAAUAGAAAUUAAAUAGCUCUAUGUUCUGAUAUUAAAAAACAAAAAAAAAACACUCAUAUUUGGAAGAUGCAGUCGGUCCCCGGGCCUUCCAACGACCAUAUGGGGUCCGCGUCCAACCUUGUGAGGAGUAGUACAGUAAAAUUGCUCGAAGUUUGCAAUGAUCAUUUAUGGAAACAUACCUUUCGAUUAUGGAAGCAAAAGGAACUCCCUUCAGUCGGCAUAUUUUUCAAAUUCUUGUGGAUACUGUGAAAGGGAUCAUGUCUUCAAAAUUGAAGGGUCAAACUAAGGAAAGAAUAUAGAUUAUUGUGAUUUCGUUUAGAAGCAAGGUCCUUGUAAUUACGGCGAAACAUGAAGAAGAUCAAUUUAUGUGCCCUUAAACUACAUUGAAAUCAAGAAAUUUCAGAAGCUAUUUUUUUAAUAAAACAAAUGAAAGUAUUCUGAUUUCAUGGUUUGAUUUUUAACACGAGUAGAACCUUAUACAAUCAAUCAAGACUAUUCGGACAUGUUCUCAUUACACUUAAUCCCCGUAAGAUAUACCAUUAUUAUCACUUUAACCCCCUAACAUUUAUUUUGUAUCACUUAACUCCCUGUGAGACAAAACUAUCUUUCUAUUAGUAUGAUUUACUAUUUCUUUAGUCAUUUGUCUUUUUUUUUUUUUGAACUUCCAUUUUUUACCUUCUUUAUUUUUUUUUCUCUUGCUUCUUCUUUUCUCUUUCUUUUCCCAGCCAAAGGUUCAUCUCCAAAUUAAGACCAGGACAAUAUAAAUUUUUUUUGGGAAAUCAAAAUAAUAGACAAGUCACAAUAUUUUGUGAUCACAUAACAGUUAAUACUAGAGUAAUUUCGAUUUCCAAUUUUUUGCAACAUAUAUAAAAGUUCUAUUUAGAAUAUCAAAGCUCCAAAGCAAUUUUCUGAUUCAAUCUAUUGCUGAUAAAAGUGAUUAGAAGUUAGGAGAGACAAAAAAGAAAAAUAUAUAAGAAACCAUAAUAAGAGAGGGGUACUUUAGUUUUGCAGGAGAUUAUUUGUAAUUAACCCUUUUUAUUUCAAAGAAUGAGUCCAACCGGAUGAACGAAUCUCAGUCUGCCCAAUCACAAUCCUACCCUUAACAUAUAUAAUCAUCAGCGCAUUUUUGCAAAUGAUUAUUGGUUAGACCUUUUUUUUUAUAUGUAUAAUAGUCAUUAUUUGCAUAUCUUCAAGUCGAAAUAGCUAACUACAAAAUUAAGUCUUUUUGGGCUUCAAAAUAGGUCAAAUUACUGUCUAACAAUGCAUUGAGAUGAUCAAAAUGGUUAUGAGCAAAAUACAAUGGAGAAUCAAGACUUAGUAACAUCUAAAAUUGGUCAAGUUAAAUUAAAUGGAACCCUCGUAGAGCAAAUAUAUAAUUGACCAAUUGCUUUUAGGUUAACAUGAUUUGAUUUUGGCUAGAACCAAAUAAAAACUGAAUAGUGAUAAACAGCCAUGAUUAUGAUGCCAUCCUUUUCAAUCUUGAAUUUGAUAGUGCUGGAAAUCUAAGAAGAUUAGUCUGCUUCUGUAAUAUUGCUCUCAAAGUUAUUGGAUUGGCUAGCCGCAAAAUUUUUCUACAUGAAAAGCCAAAAACAUUGUGUACACAAGAUCGUAGUUGUGUUUGAGAAUAUCCUAUAUGAAAACGAAUACGUCAUUAUAAAUCACAAAAACAAAAAAGUAAAAGCAAAUACAUGGUUGGUUAUGCAAAAGGAACAAAGCUUUCAACUGGAAGAGAAUAUAAUUGAGUACUGGUAGCCCCAUUUCCUUUCUUUGGUAGUUUGGUUUCAAAAGCUAUUGGUCCACGCCUAUAAGAUACAUUGUCUCUUGCCAUCUCCAGCGAAAAGGAAUUUGAAAGCCAUAUCUUGCUUUAUAUGGAUAUGAAUAAUGAUAUUCUCUCGAGUCCAAGAUACUGAAUCCCAUGUGCAUUACUUUGUUUUUUUUUUUAAUUUCCCCACUGUUUACUUUUGUUUCUGAUUAAAAAACAAAAAUGAGAGUUUUGUACCUCCUGCAACUUGUACAUUUCCUUAUCUGGGAUCAAUGCCGUGAUUCUUGUAGAACAAAGAGAUCAGAAGAUAGUGAAGGAACCAAUCAUCUUUUCUUGGGAAUCUGGGAUUAUGCAGCAUAACUUUUUUGCCGAGUCGAUCCCACGCCCUACUAAAACUCAGAAAUAUAUUACUUUGUAAUCUAUGAACUGAUGAAUUAAUACCUUGAAUGAUUCUAAAAGCAGGAUUUGCACAAUGAAAAAAAUUUAUAUGCUAGCUGCUACUCUCAACUACACACAAUGACAAAAACCUUAAUAAGUAUACUGAUCUAAAUAAUAAUAGUGUAACUAUUUCAAUGUAAGCACGGAUAAAUCCACGUCUGCGCAUAAAUCCACUUCUGAUAAACCCACAGGAUAAGGAUUGGGCAAUUAGACUUCCUCUUUUGUGGUAUUAUCCUCUAUUGUAUCAAUGUCAGUCAUCUUUUAUGGAGAAUAAGUUAUUUUAAAUAAUAAAUAGAGUAGAAGAAGUGAAUUAUUAUUCUUGCAUCUACAGAGCAACUUAAAUUUCUCUAUGAUGUUUGCCAAAGAAAAGAAGGAUUAAUCUUCUAUACACUGACAGCAUAUACACUUUUAAUGUUAGAUGCAUGAUACAUAAUUUUAAUUUAAAUUUGAAACUCAAAUUUUGCAUAUGCUCGUAUAUCCAACCGUGAUAGUGUAUAAAAGAUUACUCAAAAAAAAAAAAACCUAGAUGGAAUAACAAAAAAAGGAAUUUAUAGAGAAUGAACUAGGACAAAAUAGGUCAAAAUAUGAAUGUGAAUUCCAUGACUUUUGUCUCCUUUUACCUUGUAAGAUGAAGCUUUGGACUCUACAAAAUGUAGGAUAAAGGGCAUUACCGUCUAGUUGUUUAAUUGGGCAAGUUAGUGUGGAAAGAUUGGAUCUAGGCUUUUCACAUUUUCUUUUUCUUUUUUAAGUUUUCUAUUUGAGGCGUAGUAAAGUAAUAUAUAUCGUUCUACUUUAUCUCCUUCUCUUCACUUUUUUUUUUUUUUUUUUGGCAAAAUUCGAACAUCAAGGCAGAUGUUCCCGUCACAAAUUUGUAUAAGGAUGGGCAUAUGCUCUAUAAUUAAGAACUUCUAAAGCAAUUUUUUUUCUAAACCCUCAUGUCUAAUUUGUGUUGGUUAAGGAGUUUGAGGUGAGAAUCGAAUCCAUGUUCAAGAACAUAAUUGGAUAGCGUACUUCCAACAGCACUCCCCCUUGCCUCCUUUACCUCCACUAUGGUUUAUGUAGAUGCCGACUUAAAAUGAUGGCGAACUGAAAUGUUUGUCAAAUUUAAAGAGUGAGCAAAUGCAUGCAUCUAAGGGAUGGAAGCCGCAAUUGGUGGCAGACCUAGUUGCACAACUGAUGCAACGUAAAAUCAGCUUUUCAUUUCAACUGUUACACCCUAAUCCGCACGGGGCCGAAAUUUCUUGUAAUUCAGCAAUGAUAGAUAUUUUUGUUUUCUUGUUUUUUUUUUCCCUAUACUGCAGUGGUCCUGCAACCCCUGUAUCUAAUCCUGAGAAUUAAUGAUCGGAUUUUGGUAUAUUUUCUAUUUAUUGUUGGUGCAUAAGGGGGUAACGGGGGAUUUUUGUGAGUUGAUAGGAGAGGAGCCAGAAGACUUGUGGGCGUCAAACAUAAAGAAUCAUUGGAUGUUUGGAUGUGCAUGCUCUAUUGCCGGUGUGGUGAUAAAAAAGAGAUGGUGAUAUGGAGAAAAAGAGGUUUGGUUUGUUGCCAUUUCAGUAAAUUGGCAAUGUUCCCAGUUGCCAAGAAGCAUGGAGGCCAAAUCAACCCUCAACACACAAGCCUUAUCCAGACCAAACUGCUUUCCUUAUUAAAAGCAGUGAUGCGUAGGGAAACAGACAGUCAUAUGGAGCGGUGAAAGGCACAUUUGAUGAUAUGUUUGAUAUAUUCUUCCAACAGCUUGAUAUAAUCCUGCUUAACGUGUCAAUACCCCACUGCCUCAUUCACUUAUUGUGGGGCUUUCUCCUUUGAUCUUCUUAGACAAGGAUAAAAGAGACUUUGAUGCUAUGUUUACAAAAAUCUGCAACGCUGGCAAUGUGGUUGUGGAAUUACCCAAACUCGUUGAAACCCUUUUCUCUGCACCCUCAAAGCACACAAAUUGAUGCAUCUUUUAAUUUGCUUUAUGUAGAAUUGUAUAUAGACACCUAUAUUUUAGUUUAGGACAAAUUAUCCCUUUGACCCUUGAACUUUUAGUUUAGGUAAAAUUAAACCCUCUAACUAUUUGUAGUCAACUUUUAACCUUCGAACUUGUAAAAUUGGAAACUCGUGGCCUUUUGGCUAGUUUAUCCGAUUUUGCAACCGAAAAGCCAAAUCACACGAAUGGCAGUAUGUUUUAAAGAAUAAUCUUUUUGUCUGCACAGAAAUAAGCAAAAGUGAACAACUCUAUUUUCUUCCCUUUUCCUAAGCCAAAUCGCUAAUAGAUCUCAAUAGACAAAUUGCGGAGGGAAGGGAGAGAAUUGUGCCAUGAAACAAGCAAAAAUGCGCAAAUAUCGCAGUCCUCCAUUUCCUAUUUGUCCCUACAGUAAAGUUACAAAGAUGAAUAUUUCGUGGACUGAUUGAAACCCAGAAAGAAGGUACUCCGUUUGCUCACAAGAAAUUGGUAGCUAUGGGUAUUAGGAUUAGAUUAACGAGGAGAUGUGCCGUCGUUCUAUUAAGUUGAUACAAGGCUUUCUAAGAAGGAUCAAUGCAACAGAAAAGCAAAAGGAGGAAUUUGAAACUGCAGCAUCAAGAUCUGAGGCAAAAACUACUAAGUUGAAGGCAAAAUUAAGAGAAACAGAGGAGCAUCUACGAUGGCAAAAAUAGUUGAAUAAGUUUCUUGUAAGGGUACUUAUGGUAAGUUGGUUGGUUGCUGUAAUAAUGAUGCUUACAGAGAAAAAAGAGAUGGAAUCUCUGCUGAAAUGCUACAAAUGGAGGUAAAUGUACUGGGAUGAUGCUACAAAUUCGUGUGAUUUGGCUUUUCGGUUGCAAAAUCGGAUAAACUAGCCCAAAGGGCUACAAGUUCCCAAUUUUACAAGUUCAAAGAAUGAAAAUUGACUACAAAUAGUUUGAGAGGUUAAUUUUACCUAAACUAAAAGUUUAAGAGCCAAACGGAUAAUUUGCCCUUUAGUUUAUGCAGUAGUGAAAUGCUACAACUAAGUGUGUGAGCUGUGUGCAUGUCCCACACAGUAGGUCGCUCUAUGACGAUUAGAUUAGAUGAUGAUGAGAGGAGAUUUGCCCUCAAGAAUUUUGUGGCUGCAAAAAGUAGGCCCAACUGCAUGCCUAAUUGCCUAGCCCUUUAUGGGGCUUUUUAGUGUAAGGAAAUAUGAAAUACCAUACUUCAUUAUGUAACCAUUUCAUGAGCAGCAUCUACAAUUUGUUGCCCUUACCCCCCUUUAUAUGUGUCCUGGUUCUUUUUUUGUUUCCCCUAUUUUGAGCAGUGGAAAUGGAGGACACUACAAAUUAAACACGGUCAAUUGAUCCAUUGGUGCUUACUCAUUUAGAUGGGACCUCAAUUCAUUUGAGGCUGGACAUGUAUAAUUCGAUUCUCAACGUUUGGUGGCCAAGAUAUGAUCACGAGUGCCCAUUUGGAAUAAUUGCAGCUAAUCAUAAUGCUUAACUACAAUUUUUUGUGGGAUUUACAUCUAUUUAUUAGAAGUUCAUAACCAUUGACAGAGACCAGGCCCUAGGUUGACGGAAACAUUUAAAGCCAGAAACAAUUUGAAACUGUACAUAAACAUUCAACAGAAAGUUAGGUUGAAUUUGAAUUCUGGAGGGAGCGAAACAGAAGUCUCGUAAAACCACUGAACUUUGGUUCAAUGGCCAUCAAAAAGGGAUUAAAUUCUUCAUUGGACUGUAGGUUAGGAUUCGAAUCCUACUUGCAGUGAAAAAAAUCCAAAGGAAGUGCUAAAAUACCAUUUUGAUCUAGUUAGACUUGUAUACCUACUAGCUCCUUACACGGUCUCUUUAGGUUCCCCUCCUUAUAGAAUAAAAUAAAUUAGGUUAUAUAAAUGUUAUCGUUGCCGAAAAAGAAAAAAGAAACAGAAGUGUUGUAGGUUAUACAUAUGCUUUUAAUUUUCCUUUCUAAAAAUGCCAUAUAAUGCUUUUUAUUCAUUUAAUGGCUGAUACUAUUAGUUUUCGUGAAGUUCACAAUAUUGUGGAUCUGACGCUUCUAUAAUUGCUCAUUUCAGUUACAACUUACAAUUUGUGUGACAAAAUAAAUAUAUAUACUAAGACAAAACAUGCAAAAAAAAAUUAAAUCUUAUUCUCACUAAUCGAAAAUUGUGUCUCACGAUCAACUCUCAUCCGUCUAAAUCAAAGUAGAUACGCAUCCAACAAUGGCGUAAAUUACUCGAUCCCCAUAUUAGCAUCCACCAAAUCACUUGCCUUUUCCAACAAAUCAAAGACUCGUUCAUGGACAAAGUCCAACAUGAACAAAAGUAGCGACUUGAAAGGGAAUAAACAUCAUUUAUAUUCUCCCAAUCGAGAUUAAAUUCUAAAUUUGUAAGUGCAACGUAAGAUUCCAAGAUUUUGGGGAUAACUGCCCCUUUUCUUCAUUUUUUUUUUUUUUUUUACGUGUAGGUAUAUAAUAAUCAUCAUAUUAGCCGUAAAAAUGUCCGUAGCUUGUGCAUUAGUGGCCAAAACGUAGAAAAGUUUUCCACAUUCCAGAUCCUUCACGCAUCAAACAUAGCGGGUAUCUUGCAUCUUCCUCCAUAUGAAGAGGGGCCGGAAGAUAGAACUUUCUCCCAAUCUUUAUUUGUUCUCAAGCACCUUUGCCCAUCAAGGAUCAAUAAUUUUGACUGGUCUUAGAUAUUCUGAUGCUCACGCGAUCCACUAUUAGCGUGAAAACCACGCCGCAACCUACUGGGUUGAAUCAUAGGUGGGCACUUAAGCAGCGGGCACUAGCUUUCGUUUCUUGUUCUGAUACUCCAUGUAAUAGAGGACAAGUUUCACUUUGCCAUCAAGAAUCUAAAAUCUUUGUUUCUGCAUUAUGGAGUCUGCAUUUACAGCUCAGAAUGAAGAUGCCAACUUUUGGUAAGAAUUAAUUUUAAUAUGUUGAGUUACUUGGAUUAAUUUUUGAAUAAAAACCAUCUCUUCUCUGUCAAGAAUUCACCACUUUCGUUGUAUGAUUUGCGUUUUCAUCAAUUUUAAGAAUAAUAGUGUAUUUCUCUGUGACAUAAACUACUCCAUAAAAUGACCAAUGGCAUUGUUAUACUGUUAGUCUGUUAGUACUAGUUAUGAGGUGAAGAGGUUUCAUCCUUGUCACCAAGUUGGAUUUAGGAUCCACACAAAAAGUGCAGAAGUUUAAGGGUUGAAGAAAUAGGAUGCUACUUUGACAAAAGGUAAGAAUUACGAGGACUAGACCAUCUUAACUACUGUUGUUGUCUUCUUUUUCCUUUUUUGGUAAUAUAGUACUUAAAAUUUUAUGAUAACUGACUGCAUUUUUGGUAGCCUAAUAUAUGGAUUGUGAUAACUGAUUGUAUUUUUGGUAGCCUCAUACCGCUUCUAGUUCAAUUCUUUCGAAUUCAUUGGAUCCCUUUCCGCGUUCGAGAAUCCCUUCCUUUCUUACACUUCGAAGAGUAAAGUAACUAGAACUAAUUUAGUCACCUUUUCAUGUUUCAAUUGAACACUUUCUAUUUUUUAUUAUCCUCAAGAGAGAAGAUUAUUCUUUUUAACAGACAUAUACGGGUCCAAUUAUGAUCUUAUAAUAAGAACAAGAGAUCUUUACCCCUCAUUUUUCGAGAAUUAAAAAGAUCCUUUUCAAAUUUGAAUUUGUUUAUUUGGAAUCUAGAUUGUUCUACUUUAUAUUUAUUUAAAUUUAAUAUUUGUCCUCUCUUUUUUUUUUUUAAUAUCAUUCUUUAAGUCCCAUAAGUUUGAUCCUAUAGAAUUUGAUCCAUUUUUCAUUGAACAAGGGAUACGAAAUAAAAUAUUAGAAAAUGAUUUGAUUGGAUAAUAAAAUGGAAGGGAUUAUAAAUAAAGAUGUCUGACUUUCAAAUAUAUGUGCGGGCGGCGGGCGCGCGCAGGCAUUGCGAAAAUUCAAAGUCCCAUUGCCUUUCAAUUUGGACCAGUCAAGGACGCCAUUCAAGAAAGUUGACCAAUAGUAAUGAAGAAAUUCAACGGAAGUCCACGCGAAAGGUAACUUUCAGUUCAGCAUUCAGGGAUUCAGCAUUCAAAGGAAGUAAUCAAGUUACUCUUGAAGUCAUGUUUCAUUCAUUGCCUGUGUAAAGUUUUUUCCCUUCACGAAUCUCAAUUCAAUUGAGAUCGAGAAAUAUAAACGUCCGGACUUUGUCUAUAAAUUAUAAAAGAGUAAAUCUUAUAUACACUGUCAGUGUAUAUAUAUAUUCACCAUUAAAUAUAUUACAUGUGUAAAAUUUAAAUUUGAAAUCUAAAUUUGUUCAUUAUAUUAUCCAUACAAUCAUAAUAAUAUAUACGCUGACAACAUAUAUAAGAUUAAUCCAACAAUCACUUCUCUUCAAAAACUGAGAGCUUGCAAUUACAUCCUUAUCUCCUUUUUAAGUAGUUUUAUUGCAUCACUGAUUAGUCAAUUUUAAUCAGCUGUGAACUAGUGUAUCACCCAAAUGUUGAAAAAGGAGUUAGCCCACUUGAAAAGUGGAAAAAUUAAUAAUGCAUGGUUGUAAAUAUCAAGGGCUGACCGCAGACAUAAGAAAAUAAUUCAUCUGAAGUAAAGUCCAUCUAAAGAAAAGGGCUUCGAUUCUUUUAUUCUUUGGAAGAAUUGAUAAGUUCAUGGAGGGUAAAGUCCAGGAUGAGAGAUUUUAUUUAUUUAUUUUUUUUGAAAAAAGACAAAACCAUUCACAUGGCUGAUGGCUCAUACAUGUUCCAAAACCUUCGUGUGCCAUACUGUUCCAAAACCUUCAUGUGCCGAUGUGUGGCUGCAAUUGCAUUCUAUCGGCAACUGGUAGUGUCCACUGUCUUGUCAACUGCAAAGUCAAAUUUGUGAACAUACAAGUAUAUAUCCGGAUUCAGGAUGCAGCAUUGAAUUAUUGAAAGCUUUGUCUAUCAACCUGCCGAAGGGUAAAGACAAAGGAACAAAAACAAAAACAAAAAAAAAAACAAAAACACUAGAAGGUGCUAUUGAAUGAUUGGAUUGUAGAUGUAGCGCCCACAAGCCAGCAAUUGGUUUCAUUAUAGUUUGUUGAACAUCGCAAAAAUGAAUAUCUAGUCGAAUUUGAAUCUCCGUCCCACUUCGAUUAUGGGUUCUUCAACCUGAGUUUAAAGUUCUCAGCCGCACCUCCUGUCACCAAUUGGUUGGAUGGUGUUGAUUUGUGGAUCCCCCUUAAAUUAGUCUCUGACUCAAUUUGGCGAUGAUUUUCUGAGCGUUCUAAUCUAAUGGGGUGUGUGUGUUUAUUUCUGUCUAUGGAAAAAAAAAAUAGUCGAAUUUGAAUCCUAUAUUAAUUUAUUGAAUGAAAUUGUACCAUAUCUCGUGUUGAUAAUUGUUGAGAUGCUUUUGUUCUUAAUUGGAAUGAUACAAUUUUGCAUCCCUAAUGUUUUGCGCGCAGAGAUUCUGAAUUUGUACCUUAACUUUUAUUUUGAAAAUUCUGCACUCUAAAGUUAUAAAUACCUAUUAUAUUGCACGCCGAACUUUUAUUCUAGACAGUUUACACCCUAAAUGCACCAUUUAACUUAGAAUUCUUAUAACCUUGAGGUGUUAGUUGAAAAUAGCUGAAAAUAUAAGGGGUACGAAGUUUAUUAAACCCUUCUUAAUUUUCAAACACAAUUGGAGUAAGUAAAACAUGCGAGUCACUCGUUUAUGCUUUCAAUUUUGGAUUGAACAAUCAACAAAUUCAUUUUUCAUGCAAAAGCAAUUUGUCCCUAAAAAAAAACUUAAAAGAAGAAAAGUAAAACGAAGUAAAGAGAUUUGAGUAGUCUAAGGGUCUGUAUAAACUAUAGCAGUACAGAAUUUUCCCCUUAAGGGCUAUUCUCAGACUUAACAGGUCAAUAAAAAUGAUCAGCCAACACGAUUGUUAUCAGUCAAAUAAGAUAAGAGGAUCGCUUUUGAUCACCUUAGAAACAAUUGAAUGAGAGAGAGAAAUAUAAGUAAUCUUUAGGAAGGCGGUGAAGGGGAGGGUGAUUCCCCCGGCUUGGGAAGAUUAUGCUGCAUUUUGUUGUGAACUGGAGGGGGUGGGCUUGGCAACACUCUAUCCACAAUUGGAUCAUAACCUGCAAUUUCAAGGCCGAAAUUUGUUGUCAUCGUUUUCUUGACCCAAGAAAGAAAGAAUGACACCAAAACAAGAUGUUUUUAUUCCAGCUUUCUGAUACUCAGUCUCGGAAUAUAUUAAUGCUAAUCAGAAUGACUAUUAAUUCUCGUCAAGAAGUAAAUGAUCUUCAUGAUUUUCAUUUUCCAGAAACUUAUUACCUGAUAUAUUUUUUUAUCUGAAAACGGGAAAAUGAUUUAAAUGGAGUACAGUUUGUUCAUCCUAGCCAUUUAUAUCACUAUAUGGGAAAAUUUGCAAAUAUUCUAGUUUACUUAUAAGUUUGGUCGUGGAAGAAACAGAAAAAAAAAAAAAAAAAAUAGCAGCAGAAUAGACUAAGGUGGUUAGAGAUGAUAAUUCAUACCUGCUGUGACUUGAUGGAGCUGUUCUGCGAUGAAAAUUAUCACAAUGAAGAUCCUCAUAAAUUUAAUAAUUCUCGAAAGGAAAGAAGGAUAUUUCUUGUUUAUGCUUGGAUUGUGCUCAAGUGCUUUCUUCCUCGACUGAGAUACACAGGAGGGAGCCAUGACGGGAAAAUUGUGGUCUUCUGGCCUUCAAAGUUUACGGUACUGUCAUGUAUUCACAAACUCUUUCUUACCUUAUUAAAAAAAAAAAAAAGAUAACUAUUACAGGCUACUCUUUUGUUUUGAAAGAAAAUAGAUAAUAUAUGGAUUCGUUUUCCCUAUCAAUACUAUUUUCAAUUGAGAACAUUUUCUUGACUCACAAGUUGGAAUUGAAAGUUUUUUUCUGAACUACUAACUCAAAUAUGAAAUUCAAAUAGCCUCCAAACGAAACUAAUUUAUGAAUCAAACAUAUUGAAUUGUGAAAAGUCGACUUGAUUGAAAUAUCUGCAUAGCUAGGCCCUUAAACCCUUUGCAGAGAUGUCAAACGUUUAUAUUUGUAAGCAGCUUAACUUAGCUAUGGUCAUCCAAAGUUUGUUUGAUUUUCUUGAUCAGAGUGAUCAAAGGAUUUUCCUGUUCAUCCUCGAAGGCAUUUAUUAGUUUUAACUGAAGUCAAGUGUUUAGACAUUGGUCAUGACUCGUGAGUCGUGACCUUGGUUCUUCUUUGUGUCUCAUGGUCAAAGUAUGGGAAAACGUGUUGCCCUGUUGAUAAUAUUAUAUUCGUUUGGAUUACUAUUUUCUGAAUUUUUUAUAUAAUAGCGAUUUAACAUGUGUAAUGUAAAAAGUUAUUCAAGAAAUAAUUUGAUCAUAGAAAACAUAAAAAUUGUUCUGAGAAAAACUUCAAUCCAAAUGAUAACACGUGUCAGUAUGAGCUUGACUCGGAUUGGUUCUCAUAAUUCUGGUAUUUUUAUGUCCCAGAUUUAUAUAUCUACAUUAAUUAAGCGGCUUGGAAAUUGACUAGCUUUUCAAUUGGUUCCCACGAGGAUUGAUUAAAUACAAGCAACUUCGGUUUCCUUUUUCUUUUUUAUGAUCUUCAUGAUUUUCACAUUCCAGAGAGGUACAAACCUGAUUGUUUCUGAAACUAGGAAAAGUAAUAAAACGAAUUUUUCUUCAAAAACAAAAAUGGAAGAAAAGAGGGUUCUGUUCAUCAUUCAUUUGUUAGAAGAGGAGUAAAAUAACUAAUAACAUCAGUCAUAUAUCGUGUUAUAUGAAGAGUGGACAGAUGACUCUUUCAAAGAAAAAAAAUUAGUUUAUGAAAGAAAAAAAAAAUUUAAACUGCUUUUGAAGACAAAUAAAUUAAAAUAGCCUUCAAAGAAAAUUAAUUUAUUCUUUUCUAUUUCAAACCUUUCGCAGAAAAUGCUGAACUGAAUUAGUCACUAAACCUAAUCAACCAUGUGAAAAGCUGACUUGCAUGAAUGAAAUAUUUCGGACAGCUACUAGUUCUUCGGCCCCCCACCUCUACACUGAAGUCAAACCUUUAUCUUCUUAUAAUUGCUCAUUCUGAUACUGAUAGAUAGCUCCAACUUCCGAGUGUUUCUUCUAAUUUACUGUUUAUCUUCUCUCUCUGUCUCUCUCUUUUUUUUUUUGGUCGGUCCUUCUAAUUUGUGUUCAGAAAUAGUUAUAUGCUCAGUGGAAGUAAAAUAGGAGCAGUUUUUAGCACAAUAAAUACAUUUUCCUUUGCAUUAAGGGAUUUAAUAAAGAAUUUGAAAUUCUCUCAAAUCUGGGUCGAUUUUGAUAGAUGCUUGGCACGUAAUUCACUAAUUAUUUUGAUACGUUUAUAAACUGAACUGUUUUCUCCAAAUCUCUCGAUUCAAACGCAACCAAAAGAAUUCUAUUUUUAUUGGUCCCACUUCGACAGUAGAGUAGAAAAUUUUCAGUCAUCAGAGCAGCAUUGUCAUUAUUUGAAAGAAAUAAUAAGGCCAUCAUGCCACCAUUGCAUAUUAUAUUCAUCCAACCAAUUUUGCAGACAAGCAAACAUCCGUAUAAAUUGACGAAGCUGAACAGGAUGUUUUGGGAUUGAUGUCUGAAAACUGGAUUAGGCCUUGUCAACAUCCAAAAGGACGUUAAUGGCAGAAUAAUCUAUUGGGUUGUUGUGGAUUAAUCAUUAAUCUUCUCCUAACUACACAUAUCAGACAAAGGGUUAGAUAUCACUCAUUAUCAUGUUCUUGUUUUUUCUUUCAUAAUAGAAACACCAUUCAUUCUUGACUCUCUACCUUUUUUGCUUGCCCUCAAAUUGAAUCUUUUAUUAUUGUUUUUCAAGACAGAGCAUAAAACAAAAUGAUUUUAUUUUGAUUAAAAUAUUGACAUAUUGGAUUCCAUUAAUUUCCAUGCAUAACACCAAAAUUGCACGAAUAAAGAGAGUACUUUGAAUUGAAAUUUUUUUUGUAGCCACUGUUUACAUGUUCUUUAGAUGACUAUUAAUCAUGAUAUCAUAAAAAAAAAAAGAAGCAAAACAUGAUGUUAUUUCUUUUAUUCCGUUGGAUGUAAUUCUCUCUUCUUCUUUUUUUUUUUCUGUUUUGUAGGUAUUGUUUACAUGCUCUUUAGAAAACAAUUAAUCUCGAUAUCAUUUAAAAAAAAAAAAUCAUGACGUCAUUUUCAUUUUCUUCCGUUGGAUGUAUUUUUUCCCCCUUCUUCUCGCAACAAAUUUUACGUCAUAUGCGUUAAUAAAAGAUAAGCGUCUGGUGGUGGGCAGCAAGCUUGCUGCUUUUGUUGUUAACGUCCAUCUUCUUUUUGGAUCCUAAAGUCCAAAGAAUUAGAACUUGGGCUUUUAUCCCUAGAACAAUUCCAGAGGACAUAUUAAGACAUUUCGCUUGUACAAGUCACCAACAUGGGCCGAGUUUAAAUCCAAUUGCAAGAGCUUAUAUUGGCCAUUUAUAGGUAAAAAUACUUUUUGAUUUUGAGUAAGUUUUUUAUACAUCAUCAGUGUACGAUUUUUUUUUAAGACUAACAAGUUUAGAUCAUGUUACUUAAUAUGAAUUUAAAUUAAAAUUUAAAUCAUACACACGUGUCGUCAUACAUCCGUUGUUACUAAUGUAAAAAAAUUACUAAACUAUCAGUGCAUAAAAAGUUAAUCCAUACUUUUUUUUUAACUAUGUAUUAGCUUAGAGUUCAUUUCAUUACUAAAAGAAUUUUAAUUUUAAAUAGAGUUUAUAUAAGUGUCGUUCAUCCAACCCGCUAGUCGAAAAACUAAUUUUAAGCUGGAAGGUCAUUUUCUUCUAAAAGCCAAUUUUAAGCUAAAAUGCAUUUCCAUUGUGUAUUAUUGGAUUAUAUGAAAAACUUGAAUUGUUCUCCAUUGGAAUAUGAUGAUCUUUUCUUUCAUCCUUGUUAUUUUUUUUCCCUUUAAGGUGGCAAUCAAUACGUGCAUGAACGUGUAAGUUGCGUGUGUAUUUUUGUCUUUGAAAUAUUUUUCUAUGACCUUGCUCAUGAUUUUUCCUCCAUUUCUCCCCCUUUAUAGCUUCCCUUUUUUCUUUUCUAAAUUAAAGUGUUCCCACUAGUACGUAACUUCCUCUUCGUUUAUCAACUUAUUCCAUUAAUUUUCAUUUUCAAUAAACAAAAUACUAUAUCCCUUUACAACUCUCACAAAUUUUUUUAUGCCUAUCAUAAUGAAAAUUGCAUAGUGAACUACUUACUAUACGUUAUGAGAAUGAAAUCGGGUGGUUUAUGAAUAUGGAAAGGAUUAUGGAAUCGGAUGGCAAGUAUUCUACUGAGGGGAUAGAAACAAAAAUGAUAAAAAUAUCAUUUUAUACGAAUUAAAAUAAAUUGAAGAGAAAUGCCAAACUGGUUUUUCUUUUUUCUUUUUUUUAUACUGCACAAAAAACUUUGACUAACAAAUUAACUAUAUACCAAUUGGAAGUCUGAGGUAAAAUCAAAUGUUGUAUUCAUUGAUAAACUCUAGCUAGUGCAAUUCACAUUGGAACGUGCAAUUUUCGUUCUACAAAGCAUUAGAGGCAUUUCCAUAUCUUUUCUUUUCUAUCCUAUACUCCCAAACUGGCCAUAACAGUCCUUAAAUUUUAUCAGGGUGGAGAGCAAGAGCUAAUUUCCCAUACUGUUUCUUUAUUGUCUCAUCAAUCACACCAACCAAGGACCUCAUACCAGUCCACUUCUCCAUUCACCUUUGUCUCAGAAGCAGCAUAUAUAAUAUAACAAGCGUCUCCCGAAAGACCCUCUAGUUCAAGAAACAGGCUUUGAGCCUUGGAAGCAAAUCUCAUAGCUCCUCGUAUCGUAUGUCAUUCUCUGCCAACUUUUGCUCUGCCAUUUCUUUCGUUGGUUAAAAAGGUAACGAAGAAAAAAGCAUAAAUGGCCGUGCUGGACACAAUAGAUUUACUUCCAAGUCACAGAAAUUUUUCUUUUGGGUCAUAUAAAUUUGUCUUGAUAUAAAUAUCGGAAAAAGCCAAAUUGGUUUUUUUCUCCCUGCACGUGGAUUGGGGAUUUUUUUUAAAAACAAGUUUUUCAACUACAAUACUACAGUAAUACUGUAAUACACAAAUAAAAAUAACCUUAAAAACAUCAAAAACAACUUCAAAAAUAUCAAAAAUACAAAAAAAGCAACCUCAAAAAUAUAAAAAAAAAACUUCAAAAAUACCAAAAACAUAAAAAAUAACUUUAAAAAAAUACCAAAAAUACAAAAAAAGCAACCUCAAAAAUACAAAAAAACAACUUCAAAAAUACCAAAAACAUAAAAAACAACUUUAAAAAAUACCCAAAAUACAAAAAAAUAACCUAAAAAAUAAUCUCAUCUACAGUAAAAGUUUUUCAAUUACAUUGCUACAAUAAAAUAUUUCAAAAACAGCUCAUCCAAACGGAGAUCUUUUGGAAGUCGUGAGGUAAAAUCAAAUGUUUAUAGGUACUUUUCAUUGAUAAACUCUAGCUAGUGCAAUUCGCAUUGAAACGUGCAAUUUUCGUUCUACAAAAACAUUCGAGGGAUUUCUAUAUCUUUUUUGUUCAAAUUAACAAGAUUCACUCCUCACACUGGUAUUACUUGAAAGAGUUGAGGGAAAAUUUUGAACCCACAAAAAACUACUAGUACUUGUAACGAAAUACGCAUACCAGCCAAGGGUUUAUGUGCAAAGCAUUUUCACCUUCGUUAAUUAACUUGUCCAUGUGUGAACUUGUAGGACUAAUUUAAUUGAUUACCGGACUUGUAUUUAAUUAAAUGGGUUCAACUUCUGCAAUUUAAAAAAAAAAAAAAACCCUUUCUUCGUCUUGGAGUUGAAAAUGAUGUAAGAGUCAUCUUCAGGCUUGUCUUUUAGUUGACUAGUAUACAUAGAGCUUUUUAUUUUCAACUUAUUUUAGCAUUUAUAAUUUUCUCAACUAGGAAAAUAAAAAAACAAAAUAGAAAUUUUAGUUCUGCUACAUCUGCCAGUUCUCUGUUGCUCAAAAACUAACAGUUCGUUUGGGAGAUGGGAAAAGAAAAGAAAAAGGAAACAGGGAAGGAAUAACUUUUUUGGCCAUGCUUGGAUUGCUUGUUUCCGUCGGAAAAUAUUGUCGUUUUUCGUGAUCACAUUUCCCUAUCAUCUUUUUCCCUCACAUAUAUUAAAUUGUUACAGUAAUUUUUCCAUGAAAAAUGACGGAAAAUGCAAUCCAAACACAAAGUUUUUUGGCCUCAUUUGUAGGGCUGCUACAGUUGAAAAACCUUUUUAUCCACUUGUGAGCUGAUUUUGACAGAAAGUUGUAGAAAGUCUGCAAAUUUAAAAAUAAAAAAACAAUUGUGUUCUUAAAUGAAUACUAAAUAAAAUUUUAAUGUCAUAUAUAUCCAAAAUCGCUCCGUUUGUUUCUCAGACUCCUAAAUAACAUCAAUAUCACUUUCAUUCUUUUCUCUUCUCUUCUUUUCUUUCAUAAUUUCUCAUCUUUUUCUUUUAUAUCCUAUACUUCCAAACUACCCAUAAUAGCCCUUAAAUUUUUUUAUAUUUCGGCUUUUUCUAAUUUAAUCCAGCAGCCUUGUUCUUAUCAGGGUGGAGAGCAAGAGCUAAUUUCCUAUACUGUUUCUUUAUUGUCUCACCAAUCACACCAACCAAGGAUCUCAUACCAGUCCACUUCUCCAUUCACCUUUGUCUCAAAAGCAGCAUAUAUAACAAGUGUCUCCAGAAACUGCGAAAGACUCUCCAGUUCAAGAAACAGGCUUUCAGCCUUGGAAGCAAAUCUCAUAGCUCCUCGUAUAUCAUUCUCUGCCAACUUUUGCUCUGCCAUUUCUUUCGUCCCUGGCAAAUUGCCUCAUCUUUGUUACAUUCCAUAUCCACAGGCCAGGAAUGAAAGAUUUUGUUGGAUACAAAAACAUGUUACACUCGUAGUUUCACUUCAUUUUUUGUUGUAUAGCUAAGUUUUUUUUUUUUUCCCAUAGAGGUUACUCCAAAAUUCAAAUAUUUUGUUAAACUACUAUUAGGUUGUGAAUACUGCUCUGGCACGCGGUGCGCACGAUCAAGCGUGACAAAGUAUACAUUGCUACUUAGAGAUCUUUUCAUUCUAAACCAUGUCCAUUGUUAUAUUAUCAUCUAGGAUUAAUAUUGUUCUAUGAAAAUCUCAUUCAGCAAAGCUCCUUAGUAAAUAUUACUCACAUACUUUGAAAAAGUUAUCUAGCAAGCUUGUUUCUGUCCCCUCAAAAUAAAAAAUAUUGAUACAUACAUGACCCCAAAAAAGGAUACUAAUCGAGUAAGAAUUUUUUUGUAGAGGACACUAGACUUUUAUGUUUGUUCCCAAAUUACCACUAUAUUGAGUAAGAUUGUGUUGAGGUAAUAUGGGUAGUUAUGACAAGAUUGAACUUUAUUGCUCUUCUUUAUUUUUUUAGAACUUUUUUUGAUGGGUUUAUAAAUUUAGUUUAAAAUUACAUUACUUCCCUUCAUGGAGACUUUAAGUUCAAUAUUGGAUGAAGGUCUUUUUUUUCAUUUUAUACCAGAACGGGAAGUAUACGUAAUUUUUUAAACUUGAAGGAUACUGAUUGAAAUUGUCAUAAACCUUAGGGAAGGUUUGUGAAAUUAUCCCAAACAAAAAACCUUUCUUCGUGUUGGAGUUGAAAAUGAUGCAAGAGUCAUCUUCAGGUUUGUCUUUUAGAUGACUAGUGUACAUAUAACUUUUAUAAUCUAAUUUUGCAUUUAUAAUUUUCUCAAGUAGGAAAAAGUACAAAAGAGAAAUUUUAGUUCUGCUAUGUUUGCCGAAAUAGCUCCGUAUAAACUAGCUAAUUUUGAAGAUGUUUUUCAAAAAUUUUACUGUAACAGUGUCUGUUAAAAACUUCUCUAUUUGUCAAAAACUUAAAUUCCUUAAAAAUGUUUAUAUUUCGGCUUUUUAUUUUAAUUUAAUCCAGCAGCCUUGUUCGUAUCAGGGUGGAGAGCAACAUCCAAUUUCCUAUACUGUUUCUUUAUUGUCUCAUCAAACACACCGACGACCAAGGAUCUCAUACCCGUCCACUUCUCCGUUCUCUAGAAACUGCGAAAGACACCCUAGUUCAGGGAACAAGGCUUUGAGCCUUGGAAGCAAAUCUCAUAGCUCCUCGUACAUCAUUCCCUGCCAACUUUUGCUCUGCCAUUUCUUUCCUCCCUGGCAAAUUGCCCCUUCUUUUUUACCUUCCAUUUUCACAAGGCCAGGAAUAAAAGAUUUUUCUGGGCACAAAAACACGUUACCCUCGUAGUCUCACUUCAUUUUCUGUGGUAUUGCAAAGAUUUUUUUUUUUUUUUUUUUUUUUGGGUCAUAGAGGUUUACUCCAAAAUUCAAAUAUUUUGUUAAAGUAACAUUGCCUUAUGAAUACUGCUGCGGCACGCGAUGCGCACGAUUAACUGAAACAAAGUUUACAUUUGCACUUACAGAUCUUUUCAUUCUAAGCCAUGUUUAUAGUUAUAUUAUCAUCCAGGAUUAAUAUUGUUGUAUGAAAAUCUCAUUCAACAAAAUUCCUUUGGUAGCUUAUUAGGUUGUUGGAGAUUAUGGAUUCAAGAUUUGUGUCAUCGUUUAUCAAGCUCUUGGUUGAUUCUAUGUGAUAGCAAAGUUACAGAAAUUAAUCUACCCAAAAAAAAAAAAAAACCAAUAAUAGAAAUUAAAGGUAUUACCUGCUAACUAGAAUAAGGUUUACUAUAGUCCUACUUUUUUAUUCUUCUUCCUGCAGAGACAUGUAAGGGUUGGUAAUUUGUACUAUUUCCGUAACCAAUGAGACAAGCCUCAGUCUCUUCUAACAUGCUUUCUAGUUUCUACCCGUUCUUGAAGGAAAGGAAACAAGACGCUAGUUGAUGGAGAAACUAAGCCAUAACUUCUGCAGUGUCUACAAAGGGUGCAAUGACGUUAAUUAGAGGAUGGGAUUAUUACAAUCCGAAAAAAUGUACAGAAUGAUGAUAGAAUAAGUGAGUUCAGAUUUUGGACUCUAUGAAGUGAAUUACAUCUACCAAACUCCUCUGAUAUUUCUUGGAAACUUAUUAAUCACCUCCUUUUAAUCAAUCGUGAAGAAAAGAAAAAAAAAAGAAGAGAAAAAAGAGACGACAAAAGUUUUUACAUCGUACCUAUAACUUGGUUUUCACAUAAUUAAAGAGUAAAUUGAUACCAUAUAACAACAAAAGAAAAUUUUCAAAGUAGGUACAUGAUUAUCUUGUGUAGUGGUCCAGGAGGUUUUGAUUUAGCGGCUAAAGUUGAGAUACCAGAAUUUAAACAUCUUGGAUUCAAAUAUUUUCUCUCCAUUCCUGUUUCUUAUAUCUCACUCUUCUCCUGUUAGAAAAAAAAAUUAAAACAAAUCAUAUUUAUCUAGUGUAGUGAAGAAGUACACGCCUAGCUAGCCUCUGUAAAAUCUGCAAGGAUGAGAUUCUAAUGCACCAAAAUUUAGUUGUUGCCUUAAACUCAACUGUCGAAAAUUUUUCUAACUCUGUUCAUUUGUUUUAACCAAUACUUUGACUUGUUAAUUGGGUAUAUAUUUCAUUCUAGACCAUAAUCCUAGCAAAAUCUUAAACCAGGAUUUGGAUGAAUGUUUCUUUGGAUAUAAUCAUGAGACAAAAUUUCAUAGGGAUACGGAUUUCAUCAAUUAUUGAGAUCUUCUUUACUAAUUCUAGAGGAUGGAGCAAUUGUUUUAUGCAUCAAAAACUAACCCAGGUCCUUGUCCUUUUUGUAUUUCAGUAACCAAUACUGGGGAAUGCAUAUGCUUUCUACGGCCAAAAUUCUACCCUUUUUCCUUUAGUAAAUGAAUGUGCUGUUUACCCCCCCAAAAAAAAAAAAAAGGCUGCAAUUGAAAGUGGUAAUGGCAAAGUCUUACUCACCUAACUUGCACGGGUAUCAUGCAUCUGUAGUUUUAGAAAAAUUCAAUGCCUGAAUUUAGCAUUAGUGUAACUGGGCUGACACAUCUUAUCUGAACUUGCCGCAUGACAUACAAACAUCCCAAGAUUUCUUAGCCCAAGUCAAAUAGUGGAUCUCCUUGAUGAUGGGCUCCAAGAACUGGUAAGCCAACAAAUUGUGAAUUUUGAUCGAGUUUGAUCCUAAGCAAUAUAUUUCAUCUGCUCUUUCAGACAAUUUAUAUGUUCAAUAUGUUGUGGAUGGUUAAAUAAUUCUCUGCACAAUUUACAUGUGGCAGUCUUGAAAGCAAUGAACAUGGCAACAAGAUACCAGGUGAAUCCAGGACAGCAAAUUUUGCGGGUACACGGGAAAAAGUUUCUAUCGCCGUUUGGAUUACUAUUUUCUGGAGUUCUUUGUAGAAAGAUAUAUUAUAACGAUUUAAUAUACGUGAGAUAAAGAAGUAAUUGAAAAAUGUGUUCAUGAAAAAACGUAAAAAUUUUUGAGGAAAAAUGGCAAUCCGAACAAGGUAAUUUAAUGUUCAACUGUAUGAUGAGUAGCCUUUCUGGCACAUUAAUUGCAUGUUAACAGUUGGAUGUGUUCUUGUUACCUGCUUUGAACAGCUUAUGUUCUCCCUUUAUCAAACUUAUGUGAGUAAUCAGCUUUCUAGACUUCGUACUUUGCAACAUCCAAUGAACCAUAAAGAGAAUGUAAUAAUUCAGGAUUCAUGUCAAAUCAAAAUUGAAUUUAAGCAAUAUCUGCAUAGCUACAGAAAGAGCCCAAAAGUGUGGGAUAAUUGGCGAAGGGGGAUAAGGUUAUGUGUGAUCUUUGAGGCUGUAGGUUGUACUUGAUUCUCUUACCGCUUCUGAUAACCAGAUUGAGAUUUUACAAGUACAAACAAAGAAUUUGUAGAAGCUAUAUAUUGAUAAUUCCUAUGUAGCAGCCAGGUCUAACAUAAUAUGUACUGAAUCUGAGAAUUUGCAAUCAAUAUCUCCUUCCAUUUUCCAUUGCAUCUAAAUCUUGGCUUCUGGAUUCAGGAGUUGCUGUUACGUGGUUUCGCAUGUGAUCCAUUUCUAUGUUUGUUGAAUUCUUUGAACCAUUUUCCUCCAGCAGUCGAAGAAAUGUAUGAGUAGCCCCCCCUGCAUUUUGCAGAAAGAGUAAGAGAAUCAAAUUACUGAAGAGUUCCUAUACAAUAUUUAUUCAGGAUCAAAAUGGACAUUCGAAAAACAGAAUUAUGGAUAUUCGAAGUUAAUGUACGACUUCGAAUGCAUGCUUUGUUUUUUCUGAUAAGCUGAACAUUUCAAUCAACAGGGACCAAAUGCGUAACUUAUUAGCUGAAGGGAUUCAGCUCAUAUUCUGGAAAAAUGACUUUCCCAGAACCACGAGCAAGUUGUUUAAACUCACCAUUUAUGCCAUGUGGAAAGGGGAAGAACUGCAGGUAGCACAAAGAGCAAACUACUGAUCCUGCAUUUUGCAACAGGUUACUAUUAAGAGAUCUUUACAGUGCUUGCUCAAGGAAGAACUCUUUCAACUUUCGUUUAGUUAGUUUGACAAACCUAUUAAAGCUCCAGCAAAUACAUCCGUCCAGUGAUGCCAAUAGUCAUCCACACGUGAAAUACCAAUUAGCGCAGCAACAAGAAGAGGAAGAAUGACAAGGCAGAGUUUUGCCACAUGCCCCCUCUGAUCAAAUGCUUUAAUUUUCCCGCAUAAGUACCAUGACAAGAAACCAAGGCCAGCAAAGGACCCUGCAUGGGGAAGGUACUUCGAUUAGAUUAUCAGAAGUUAAUUAGAUGGAAGAAAGAAACAUGAGCACAAUUACGUUUUGUGUCUGUAGACUCUAGUCAGAUGUGACCUUUUACUUAAGGGGGUGACCUGUACCAAAAACACUACAAUUACAAACACAUUUUCCAAACAUAUUAAUUUGUCUACAAAUGGUGUCAUGAACUGGUGACAAGAAAAGAGCAUGUGCUAUCUGUUAAAGAGAUCAAAAGCAAGAAAGCUUGAAUGAGAAAUCACAGCUCAUUAUUGAUGAACUGAAGGCAGAUUUUUGAUAUCCAGACUGAAGAAUCAUCUGAUACUGACAGGUAUUCUGACUUACAUGAAGUAUGCCCGCUUGGAAAGCUUUUGUAUCCUUCUUUGAUAAUACUUUGGUCUCCUGAGCACAGCACAUCCCCAUUUCCCUUCUUAAACACCUAGACAUUAACAAGACAAUCCAUUUAGCAGGUAAUACAUAAAGACUGGCAUAAGCAUAAGCCCUUUGCUGAGCAAUAUAUAGUACGCACCGGCACUCCAUCAGGGAAGCACCUCCAGAAAAAGUCAGGGCGUGGUCGACCAACGGCAUCUUUGAUGGAAUCCGUGAUGACUGCAGUUACGAGUAUCGAAAAUAGAAUGCCUGCAAUAGGAUUGCCCAUCAAUGACAAAAUGAACUACUUUAGAUGAGCAAAAACCAAAGAAUAAUGAAAUCUUAGUUUCAGUUAACUGUAAGUAUUACCUAAUGUAGCAUGAUGCAAAUCAUAAACAUCCCUUCUGAUGAGAUAAUAGAUGAGAAAUAUUGUGCAGGGGACAAUUAUUGCAAAAAUCUGUUAUACAGAGAGCAUGAUCAGGAACACGACAGGCGAUAAUAUUUCAUAGAAAGCUACAAAUUCCAAAGGCAGUUUUGCGUAGGCCAAAACAGGAUUUGUAGGAUUGGCUUACGUACUGGAACUGCCCAAAAUGGUAUAGUGUCUGGAAUUUUCAAGGGGUAUUUCAGAUCUGUCAUCAUCUCAGGCCCAACGUAGCGAUGAAAUGGUUCUAUAAGAUUUAAGCCAGCAUCUAUUAGUACCAAGAGCAGGAGAAUUAUCCAGUCAUGCAAGUGGACUCUUGCAACCUUUGUUCCAUGGGAUUUCAAAGUGUGCCCCCCAAAUUGAAUUCCUGGCAUCUUUACAAGUAAUCUGCAUCAACAGAAUUGAAUUGUAAACACUAAAACUUGACAACAAGGAAUAAAGCAUUCAAUUAGCAUCUUAGACGUGUAAGAGGGAAGCUAAUACAACCAUGACAAGAACUCAACUAAAUUACAAAGAGGAAGUUCUGGUACUUUGAUUUCCAUAACAGCCUUGAACAGGAAACUUGAAGCAUGAGAUGGAAAGUCCAAAAUGCACUUCUUAAGAACUAAGAACUGUAUGCAAUAAUGCAAAAGUGCAUGUCUUUCCUAGGGGUGAAUGGAAUGAAAGGACUCUGUGAAGGUUUUAGCAUCAAAUGUUUAUUGCAAUACAUGGAUAACUAUGCAGAUGCACUUAAACUGUAACAAUAUCCUUAUUGCAGUAUUAAAGUCCUUUUUCAACCAGAAUGAACUGUGAACCAAUUCUAGUGUUUUUCACAAUUAAGGAUCAAUUGAUUUUGUAAACAAGCAAAAACAAGAAGAUACGUACAAUUUAGUUAACUAUAUGUAAUCACCAACAUUAUGUCUAUAUGGUAGAAAUGACCUGAGCUGAAACAGCAUCAAAUUCAAGAAGAAUUAGCCCCGUAUGACUUCUGAGACAGAUGAAUGGACGAUUUUAUUCUUGAAAUAAAUUUAUGCGAGGAGGAAUAGCCUCUCAUAUCCUCAAAGAAAUCCAGUAAAUCAUCAACCAAAUCAUAAAUGCUAAGCAUUUCUGCAUCUGACAUUACUAAAAUGAAAGAGGGAAUUCGUACUUCACGGAAAACUAAUCCAGGGAUUGCAGGAGCACGCGAACAUGGGGGGACUCCUCGGAAUGUGGCUAUGAAGAACACAUGCAAUGACCUGAAAUUCAAUAACUGAAUAGAUGAAUAAGAUUCUCAAAAGGGUUUAUGGCAUAAUUGUUUAAAAGUUGGUUAUCCAUUGAAAUCGGCAACAAGAAGAAAACCUGAAUAGGAUGCUCGAAAAUCUUGUAAAUUUCCUAAAAAUUUCUUAAAGUGCUGACUUUUGGGGAAAAAAAUUAAGGUAACUUUAGCAUAUAUCAUUAAUACAUCCUUGAAAAAUAGUGUAAGCGGAAAUAAAUUAUUGAUGCACCUAUGAUUGUGGCUAGAAGAAAGGAUCCAGAUCCUGACGUCCAACACAUUCCAGAGAGUGUCCAGGAUUAUUUCUAGUGGGGGAGAGUUUUACGUGCAUGUGAUACUUGGAUGCUGCAUGCCAAUUAAUUAGUACUGCUAUAUAAUAGGAAGCCCCCUAACCUUAAAUUCUUUAUGCCCAUAUAGUACUUGAGGAGGUAUGCUAGCCUAGCACCCAUACUAUCUGAAGACAGCAUCUAGUCCUGAAGAUAAAGAAGAAGAUCAUUUUAGAAUGGCUAAGCAUAUUGUGUUUGGUAGAACUUACUUGACGUGUCUAUUAGGAUACAUCUGCAGGAAUUAUGCAUAUCAAAGGUUGGUAUGGUCAAUAUUUUUUUUUUUUUUCACUUUUUGAUCUCAUAAUCCUUGCUACAUUUUGCUUUAUCCAUUUGACAACAAAAAGAUAUAUAUCCCAUAAUUCACUUCAUUCUAUUUAGUGAUAGGAGAAAAGGUGAAAAGGGAUAAACAAUAUACUGCUAAUUAACGUCCUCUAGCUACUAGCAUGAUUUUCAGCGUUUUUACUCGAUUGUUUGGUUUAAGCCAUAAUUAAUCACUUGACACCAUGACACCGAACCUAUGAUUAUAGCCCCUUACAGGAUACAAUGGCUUGUGGUUUACGCAACUAUUAUUGCAAAUGAAUUAAACAUGCAACCAUGAGGUGAAACCUACUAAGUGCAUGCAAAUAUGUAUAUAUUUAUUUGGUUUAAAAAAAAAAGUUUAGAUUCUUAUUAAUCGCUUAUCAAUACAGUUCUCGCCUCGUCGACAGCAGAAUUCAAAACACAUGAAUUUUGUUGAGAAAGUGGCUCAAUUGUAUACUCUUUUUUUUUUUGUGUGUGUGAUCAAACUCAGAGAGAUUUGAAAGUGUUAACUACCAAUGAAUGGGCUAUAACAUCCUUAAAGUACUAGCCCUCAACAAUUAAAUUUCGGACAAGGGGCACGGACGGUUGCAGGUACAACCGUCCCCAACGGUUUUGGCCAUUUUCAAUAGCGCGUAACUUUGAUUACACACGGCAUAACUUUAUUUGCACAACGUGUAACUUUAGUACAAAAUUUUGCGAGCCCCACACACAGUGUGAAAAUCGAUGUACAGUUUGUUAUUUGAAUCGCACAAAUUUUUUUGGCCAAAUCAUGACCUUUAACUGCUCAGGAACGGUCAUCAGAAUGACCGUCCCUGCCCCAUUUCCUUAAAUUUCGAGUUUCACCAAAUAGAUUGGGAUGGUUCCAUUGCCCACUGGCUGGCUACUGUGUGCAGUCUUCCCUACAAAUCGUUAACUCUCUUGGGAUCCACUCUUGACUCAACCAUCACAAGUUCGCAAAUCUUAAGGAAGCACAAAGCCAGAAGAUUUCAUAGAUUUGAGGAUUGCUUUAAUUGCCCGCCAUUUUACUCACUAUUAUUCAUGCAUUUACCAUAUUUUUAGGUCACCAUUCAUCUGCAUCAAUUCAUUCUUUUAUCAUAUUUUCUGUUGUACCACACGUGAUCCUUUCUCCUAGCGUGUUUUUCUAGCCUAUUCUUUCUUGACAGUUGUAAGUUGAUCAUACAAGUAUUAUAUCAAUGUGGGAUCCUAUAUUUCUUUUGCCUAACAUGAAGUUUUUUGUUUCGUGUGGAUAUGCUAUUGAGACUUCAGAGAGAGUAAAAAAGAAAAUGAACUUUAAACUUCAAAGAAAGGAUCACAAAAUACGUUUUAUGCUACUUGCACUACUCGUGAGAAAGUGGCAUAUGCAUUCUUAUCCAUGAUUGAGAAGUGAAGCAAGAUUAUCCAUCCAAUUUCAACUCAAAAUCUCCAGAAAAUUACACAAGUUUCAUAGUUGAUCAAUAUGUGAUUUAUGUGGAUCCAAUGGUUUUUUUUUUUUAACCGAACUUAGAAUGGCACACCACAUUCAGCAGAAAUUAACAGUAGUUGACAAUUACAUUCCCUUUCCUUUGUAUAGCAACUCAACCCCCCCCCCCUAGAAAAAAAACCCACAAAUUUGUCAGCUUAAGAUCAGCUGAACCAUGUACAUUUUGUUCAUUAGUUUGGUGAAAUCACUUUUAUCGUGCUCGCCAUUUCUGUUGUUUAGUAAGUAGUAAAUUUUUGUGUGCUUUUUAACCAACCCUCGAACAAAGCAAACAAGCUAAGAUGUAAACAUGGUGUGGACUUUUUUGCUGCGUUAAGUGCUAAGCCUCACUUGCAACUACUAGAUGUAAAUUUAAAUUUACUUUGGAUUGUGAAGAUAGGCAAGCUGUAUCCAUUGAGUAAUCCAAAAGCACUUUUAGGAGUUGUCAAAAAUAGUACAGGACAUCAGUAAAAAUCAAGCAUUCAGGAUUCAGCUGGUCCUUGUACAUCUUUUACACUAGUGUUCCCCAUCUAAAAGGUCACAACCCUUUUUUCUUUUGUGAAAAGCCACCAUCCUUUCAACACCAGGCUGAUGGAUCCACCACCCCAUCCUUCCAUGAUACCUGCAUCUAUUCAAACUGCUACAACGACCAAUAAUCACCAGAUUCACCAGAACUACCCUGAUUCAACGAACUCUUCGCCACGGUCUCAACAUAUAGAUACAUGGGAUGAACCUCUACCACCAGUUCCGGGUGCCAAAUUGCGCCUGAUGUGCAGCUAUGGAGGUCACAUUAUUCCUCGUCCCCAUGACAAGUCUCUCUGCUAUGUAGGUGGUGAUACACGCAUUGUCGUGGUGGACCGCCAUGCCUCUCUCUCAGACUUCCAUUCGAGGCUCUCCCAGACACUCCUCAAUGGCCGCCAAUUCGUUCUCAAGUAUCAGCUUCCCAAUGAAGACCUGGACUCCCUUGUCUCCAUCACUACUGAUGAGGACCUGGAAAACAUGAUAGAAGAGUAUGAUAGAAUAAACUCAGCUUCACCCUUGAAACCUCCUCGCCUUCGCUUAUUUCUCUUUGCUUUCAAGCCUGAAACUGCAGCUUCAAUGGGAUGCCUGCUUGACGAUGCAAAGUCUGAAACGUGGUUUGUUGAUGCUUUAAAUGGUGCUGGUUUGCUUCCUAGAGGACUUUCAGAUUCAGCUGCUGUUGAUAAGUUGCUGGAACUUGAUGAGCCUCGAGUAAACGUGGAUUCUGGUACAGUUAUAGAGGCUCAAAAUUUGACUUCAGGUGGCAACAAGCAAGCGAUUAAUAACGCCAUUCAGGAUGUACAAUCAACAUUUUCUGAUUCACCUAUGGUGGAAACAACCUCUUCAUUUGAGUCUAGUGUUUCGUCUCCGUCCAUGUCGAAUCUUCCUCCUAUUAAGGUUAGGAUUGAUGAGACAAAUGCAAGAUUGGGUGGAUUGGAUGAACAGUUCUCUCAGAUGAAUGUUGCUUCAAAUGCACAAAAGCAAGAUGAUCGAUCCAUUCAUAUGGGAACUUCACAACCACCUAUUCCUAUAAUCGUUGGUGGGGUUGGGGUGCACUCUGGAGCUGUUACAGGGGAGAAUGUGACUCGCAUUAUCUCAGAUGAUGAGAAAUCAGAUCUUGGAGCACCACCUGGUGGACCCCGGAAACCUCCUCUGCCUUUGCAGUCUGUACCAAGAAAAUUUGGAGAUGCUUAUAAUUUGCCAUCACCAGAUUCGAAGCAUGCUGGAGGUUACAACUUGCCUUCACCUGAUUCUGUAGCCAGGUAACACAAUCUCUAUGAUGUUCUCUGUUUCUUGAGUACCUUAUUUUUUUCGGCUGAACAAGUUCAUAGAGGACUAAAUAGCCUAAAGGGAUUAUAGAGGCGGCUCAAUCAGACUCACAAGCUCGUCUCCAUCACUUUCAAAUAUAACAGCUGUAGAAAAAGUCUCAACAUUUAUCAGAUCUUUUACCAUUUUCUUCCUUAUGCCACAUUUGCGUCUCGAUUUGUUAAAAGUAGAAAUGUAGUUAUGUAGCAUGUGCUACAGACAAUCCUCAAAUUAGGGUGAGACCAUUCCUUUUAGGAAUUGGGACCCAAAAUUUGAUGGAUGGAACAAAGUGACAUAUACAGGGGUAUUUUUUCACAAUGGUUUAGGUAUUGUUGGAAAUGAACCAGAGAUUGGAGUUCCUAAUUCUAUCUGACAAGAAAAAUCUGUUGAACUUCAGGAUAAUUUUCUCUUUCUAGCAUGAGACGUUUCAUUGACUUACAUUAACGAUUUCAUUUUCCAGUGAUUCAAGCAUUGCAUCUUCUGCCUCUCUUUCCAAACACACAAUUUACCAGGACCCUGCUUCCUCUGCAACCAGAGAGAAUAGAAUUCCUUCUUCUGGGGUUGAUCACCAGAGUAAUAUUACGGAUCCAAGCCCUCUAUUUCAAAUGCAGCAAGUUCAAGAGACAAUGGUUCUGCCACCCUCGCAGCAAAACCAGCUCCAACAACAGUUCAUUCAAACCAGUGCACAUUAUAUCCAGCAUGCUGCAACGGGUCAAGUGCCAGUCUCAUCUUACUAUCCCGUUUAUGCACCCCCACCGCAACAGGCAAUUCAUCAACAAAUUGAUCAGCAGUAUCCAGUGUACUUGCUCCCUGUUACUCAAACCCAACCUUACAACCUAGCAGUGCAGUCCAAUAUAGUUGAUGCAACAUCAGUAGCCGCAGCCCGACCACCAACACCAACUCCAAACUAUGUUCCUUCCACUGCUUACAAGGAAAUUGCUCCACAAAUUUACCCUGCAAAAACAAUUACAACAAAGCCUGAAGUGCCAGCCAAUUUAUACAGAACAGCUGGUACUGCAACCCCAACAUUAGUUCAAGUUCCUGCCAACCAGUUUCAGCAACAAUACUAUAGCCUUUCUCAAAUGCCUCCUCCAUCACAGUCCAUUCCAGGUGUUUCUGCAUCUGUUACAAAUUAUGGCUAUGAAUAUGCUCACCCAACACAUGAUCAGGCAUACUAUGCUCAACAUCCAACUGCAACACUACCUCAGUACCAAACAAUUUCCCCAGCUGCAGCAAUAAUGUUAUCACAGACUUCUACUCAAUUGGCUACAGACGACACCUCACAACAAAUAAGUAGCACACAAUUAUAGAUCGAACGAGGAUUCGAUUGAGGUGCUCCACUUAUUCAGGCUCUGAUUGGACAGUUUCUUUGCAGGCAAUGUGGUAAUUUGGAUUGGGAGUUGUGGGCUGUUUUGGCAUUUUGGAUGUGGUUGCAAUAGGAUUGUGUCUUUCAUGUGUUAGGUGGUGGUGAAUGUGGCUGCUAAAUUAUUGUCUAAUUACGUAUUUGUCCUUCAUAAUCAUUUGUGCCCUUAUGGUUCAGUUGGUGGAUUAUAAAAUAAUAAUUAAUGGUGAGAUAAUGGGUACUAGCCUGGUAUAUUUUUUACUUUUUAUGUACUCUUGUUUGCUGUUGGUUUCAAUUAGCAUCAGACUCCAAGUUUUCUAAUUUAACGAUUGGCUCUGCGUUUCUUCGGACAUCUGGCACUUAUUGUUGAGUUUUAAUUUUUGCAUUUGUUCUUGAUUGUUGUUUUACGAGACUAGUAUUUUACUGUUAAGUUGGGCUGUGUUUGAAGAGAGUCCUCCUCAACAGGAAUGAGAGUAGCACCAAUUAAACCAGAUCCGUUUGGGACCGUAGCAUACGUUAACAAAAGAACCUCUUACAGCAUUUACUUCACAUGUACGACCAACAUAUGUUAUGUUAUUGUCUGACUAUUCCAGUUCCAAUUUCCACACUCCCAAUGAGGACGUGAUGCAAAGAAAGCUCAUCAAGUAUAAACAACAUUUUUUUUUUUUUGUUGGGGUACGAUGUAUAAAGUAUAAACAACAUCUAAACUUGUACUUGGGGACCCAUCCAUGACUAAAAUCCUAAGAAGAAAGCAUGACUUUUGUAGUUUUUGAGUUCUGUCCUCAUGAUGAUACAAAUUGGAAUCUAGUAACAUCUGGAUUUUAAUCCUUGGAAGUAUCAAGAGCAACCCCAGCAAACUGAAAGUGAAAGAUGUUUCACACACUAGUUCACCUUCAAUUUCAGACACUGUAAAAUGGCAACCAUUUCCUACUCUUUUUCCACUCCUAAGCUCUCAACGCUCCACUAUUCCAGGCAAGCUCUAGUCUUUCUGAAAGUGCCAAGUUCACCAUAACAGAUACUUAAAAGCUUCAAAUCAAGGUAAACUAACCGUUUUUUUCCUUUUCUUCUUAAGCAGGAAUUUCAAGACCAACAGCUGUCUUUCUCUCAAUCAACCUAGUGCAAAAACCACCAAUGCCUCAGCAGCGGCAGCCGCCUCAGAAACUCUCAAAGUUGCAUUCGCCGCCGGUGGGACCGGAGGCCACAUAUCCCCCGCUGUGGCAAUUGCAGAUGAGCUUAAAAACCAAAACCCUGACAUCCAAAUCCUCUUCAUAGGCACCCCAACCGGGAUGGAAAGCGCCGCCGUCCCCUUCGCCGGCUACCCAUUUGUCGCCAUCCCGGCAGCCCCUUUAGCCCGCCCUUUAAUCUCUGUUCACAACAUCUUCAUCCUUCCUUUCCUUCUGACAAAAUCCCUCGUCAAAAGCUUCCAAACCCUUCAAGAGUUCAGCCCACAAAUAGUAAUCGGCACUGGUGGCUAUGUUUCUUUCCCCAUUUGCCUUGCUGCAGCAAUGAAAGGUUUAAAAUUGGUAAUACAAGAGCAAAAUUCAGUUCCUGGAAUUGCAAAUUGGGUGCUUUCUUUAUUUGCUGAGAGAGUUUUUGUAGCAUUUAAUUCUAGUGUGGACUGUUUUUGGCAAAGGAAUAAGUGUAUAGUCUGUGGGAAUCCAGUGAGGUUUUCUUUGAGCAAGAAUGUGGUGAAGGCUGAUGCAAGAAAGCAUUUUUUCCCUAAGGCAGUUGAGGGUAUAGGGAAGGGACAAGGGAAGGUAGUUUUGGUUCUUGGAGGAUCUUUGGGUGCCAGUGCGAUCAAUAUUGCAUUGUUGAAUUCUUAUUAUGAGAUGUUGAAUCAGCGUGAGGAUUUAUUCAUCAUUUGGCAAACUGGGGUGGAAUCAUUUGAUGAAAUGGAAAGUCUUGUCAAGAACCAUCCUAGACUGAUUCUGAAGUCGUGAGUUUUUGUUUCUCUCGAAUGCUUUCUUGUUUUUUUAUUUAUUCUUAUUUGCUUGGAUUACGGUUAGUCCUUACAUCGUUUUAGGGCUAAUGUUCUCUGUUUCUCGUUAUUUUUUUGGAUUCUGAUUAGCUUUUGUAUUGUGAAGGUUCUUGCAUUCUAUGGAUUUGGCAUAUGCUGCAGCAGACCUAAUCAUAUCAAGGGCUGGGGCAAUGACUUGUUCUGAGAUUUUGGCAACCGGAAAACCUUGUAUUCUGGUAUUAAAGAAUUCUUAGUUGUCUGAUAUGUAUCAAAUGUGGUUAGUUGAUUUAGUUAAAUGAUUCAUCGUGCCAAACUAUGAUUUCUUGGUUGCCAGGUUUCCAACCCUGAGAAUUUUGAUGCCACUAGGUUGCAGCUUUGGUUCCCUUCACCUCACACACCCCUCUCCUCUGGACCCAAAGAUAUCCCCCCUACUUCUUGAAUAACCUUAGAGAAGACACAUGAUUUCUUCUGAUAGUACUAUCCUUCCAUUCGAGGACAACUAUUGCAUGCUCAUGACGAUUAGCAAAACGUUGCAAAGUCUUUGAUAGGUUUCUCUGACUGCAGAAGUUAAGCUCUGCAAUUUGUAUUGAUAACUAAAUACUCCUUCAUUACUAAUCAUAAUAGAAGAAUUUCAUGGGAAUUUCAUUGCUGAUCUAUAAGCUGUAGUUGUGGUAUUUACAUUAUUAGAUACUUAGAAAAACAACUAUCCAUACAAACUCUAUUGGUGAGUUCAACCAUGAUUGUUAACCAUCUUUUGAGUUUUGUAGAUACCAUCACCCAACGUUGAUGAAGGGCAUCAGCUUAAAAAUGCAUUUUUGAUGGCUGAUUUAGCUGGUUCAAGAGUUAUAACAGAAGAUGAACUUGACUCAACAACCCUCAGAACUGCAGUUGAAGAAAUUCUAGGUAUAAUCAGUUUACCACCCUGUAAGAUCCUUGCUACAGUAGUUCAGAAGAAAAAAUGUGAGUUAUUUCACUCAUGCAGUUGUUUUGAUGGCUCUGACAUAUUUAUGCUUCUCCUUCUGUCUUUUGAAGGUCAUGUAUGCGCAAUCUAUCAGAAAAUCAGAACGUAGUUAUUUUAUCUAGUGUCUGCUCCUGUAUAUUUUUGUAUAUAUUCGUCCAAAUGCAGCUGUGUUCUUGCCAAAGAGAACCCUUAGUAUAGUCCUAGCAUAUUUGUUCAGUAGCAAUAUUCCUUUGUGGACUGAAUAUCUUUGCUUCCAUAGCGAUCCAUUUCCUUACUCCAACAGUGCUAUACCACUGAAUAGUGUACAUACUUCGAUAUAUGCAGACAAUGAGAGCUUGAUGGUAGAGAUGUCUCAGAGGGCUCUCCAGGCUGCAAAGCCAAAUGCCUCCAUUGAAAUUGCUCAAUACAUUCUUUCUGUUGUCAGUUCAUCAAAGUGAACAAAAUGAAGGUGAAUCUGUGAAGGAUGUGAAACUUAAUGUUCAACAGUUCUGACAGAAUCAAGGUGUGUCAACUUCAGAGACUGCCAUUCUUUUGACCAUUUAAAGUGAUUAAGGAUUCUUGAACCAAUCAGAUAGGUAUCUCACUGGAGGUCAGAAGAUUUGUCCCGAAGACUGAUCUGCAAGUCUAAGUUUUGAGAUGGUUGUUGAGUAUUCCUGUUCGGUGAGACUCCUUGCUGUUGCUGGGCUCAAUCUACCAAUUUAGACACAUUAGCAAAAUUGUGGAUCUUGCUUUGAUGUUUUUCUUUUUCUUACCACGAUGAGAGAUACGUAUACAGGAAGAAUUUAUUAAUCAUUUCAACUGAUUCGUUUCUUAUCAUGCUUGGUUUUGUCCUGAUUGACAUUUUGCUUUAACUUCAUGAUUAUUUUAUUACAUUGUAUCUAAUCAUUGCUUUAACAACAUAAUACCUUUUUAAUCAUGGCUAAUUAAUUUGUGUGCAUUGGAUUAGAUCCCAAAACUGGCAGCACUUCCAAAAGAAGAGAAUUUAGAGGACUAACGAGAAAAAACCAGGUACAAUGUAUGAAAAUUGAGUAUAUAAUGAAGUAUGGGUGGACGUGUUUGAGCUUUUCGACAAAGGAGGUCAUAAGCCAAGAAGUUAUUCAACAAGUUUCGUCCACCAAAUGUACUAGGACACAAUUGCUAUAGAACUUGCCAAACUAACCCAGAACUUAGUAUAUUAAUUAUCUAAAUUUGGUUUAAAAUAUUCUAACACAGGUUUUUUCUUUUUCUUUUUUUUUGACAAUUUCUGAGGACAUUUUUUUAAAGGCCUGGCCUUCUUUUAUUUCUAAAAUUUUCCAAAGAUAAAGAAAUAAAAUACUUCUAAAAUUGCUUUGCCUGUUUUGGUCCUUUCUUUUCUUGAAUCUCUAUUUAAGAAAGCUAGAACUUAACCUGUUAUGUUUUCGUACUCAUUAGGUAUUUCAUUAGCAGAUUCAAGUACACCAAAGAAGUGCUUCAAAAUAUUACCACUGCCCAAGUGCCAUGACAACGUUUGCAGAGACAAGUGCGUGAAAGUAUUUGGAGUUUCACAUGCAUACUAUUACUUAGUUUGUCUGCAGUUGUUUUCAUUCAAAUAUUUCCUGCCAAUGUGCAUUUGAUUGCCCCUAUUCCACCUCCUACCAACAAACUGAAACAAUUGACUACUUGAUGAUGCCUGUUUCAGUCUCCAGCCAUAGUGAAGAACUUAUUACUAUGGAUCAUUAACCUAAUUUAUGAUUUUCUAAUGCUGAGGGUUCUUAUUAAUUUCUUUCAUAUUAGAACAGGAAGAAAACAAUAAUGUAAUGUACAUUAUUACAUUAAGCAUCGACCCAAUUGAGCUCAUUGAAAACCAACGAGAACUAAACUAUUAUCAGAUCACAUGAGUGCACAGACGGUACACAUAUGAUGGCAAAUGAUGGGAGACAAAGAGGCAAGGUUUAAACUCUUGACCUCCUAUCCCAUCGAGACUUUAAGUCUUAGGUGAUGGCUAACAGCCCAAACAGCCGUUGGUUAAUAGAUAGUACUACAUGAUAAGCUACAUUCUAAAAAAUUAGAAACAAGGAGGUUUAACAUCUCUACUUCUAUUAAAUGCAAUUUAAUUGCUAAAAUUAAAUGGAGAAAUAACUGUCAGCCCUUUACCAAAAGAUAGGUGUUAUUUUCCCUUUUCUUCCUACCUUCAACAAAUAAAUUCACUUGUGUCAACAAGCAAGUUUAAUAAAAUUUUGUUUUGACUUAAAAAAAAAAAAAAGAAGUUAAUUCCACUUCAAAUUUUAGAUAAUGAUUUGUACGCAUGAAGAAAAUGAUUUAUAGGUAUGGUAGGCCAUGUUGCGACCAUGCACGUAAUAUCUCCAGAAGCAGUAAUGUUGGCUGUCCCCCAAGCAACUCUACCUCUUUCUUGGAAAAAAAGACACUUUACUAUUUUCUCCACAAAUAUCUACUAACUAAUGAAGAACCAAUGCACAUUUAGAUUUGAGAGAACUUGUAAAAAGACCCAAUCAUGAAACAUGUUGGUUUUCUCCGAUUGGAAGUGCGGUCGCAGACCCACUUCCCAGCCGGUAGCUCCAGACCUGAUGCCCCUGUCAUCGUGCAUUCGGCGGCGAAACUUAACAUGCGAGCUGUUAGCAGCAUUGCCGGCGCCGGCGGAAAGGUUUCCGAUAAGCCCUCCAUUUGUACAGCUGACGAGCUCCACUACGUACCGGUGCCGGACUCCCAUUGGCGCCUCGCUCUAUGGCGCUACAGGCCCUCCUCCCCUGUGGUAUGCAUUUAAAUUAACGUCCGUUUUCUUAUUUGCCUUUCUGCACUUUUACGAAAUUUAGUUUUGUGCUGGCUAUCUUUUUCUUUGGUAGGGGAUUAAGAGGAACCAUCCCCUGUUAUUGUUGUCUGGAUUGGGAACAAAUGCAAUUGGCUAUGAUCUUGCUCCCGGGGUGAGUUUCCUUGAUUUUUUUCUUGGCCUUUUUUUAGCUUUUUCUUUCUGUUUUAGCCUUCUUUGGGCUAUUUUCACCUUGAUUGCUCCUUUUUUUUUAAAAUCCUUAUUACAAAACUGCUGAUACUUAUUUGCAUGAGUAUGUAGACGUCUAUUCCUCAGAAAUCAACUUUAAAGUUGAAUUGGUACCAGUUUUUGGCCAUUCUAUUGAAUAACUUGGAUUUAUGUUCAUUUUUUACCCCUGGUGACUAUAGAUGGAUUUGUGGAAAACAAACAUUUUUCAGUUUACUAGAUCAAAGCUGACUCAUUACCGUUCUUUCAUUCUUGUUGCUCGUGAAAAUUACUAGUACUUCAAGGGCAGAAAAUUGGUUUGUCAACGCUUGGAAUUGGAUAAGAGUGUACACUAGAAAUCAGAACAGCCAUGCUAGCCAUCUCCACAAGAAGCGCUCUAUUAUCCUGUAUUUGUAGAUUGGCAUUUUGCUGAGCUUUGUCCUUUUACUGCCAAGCUAACUGCUAGCUGACCUUGUCAUUGCAUGUCAUUGUAUUGUUUUGGGCAUCAUGUAUUUACAUUCUUCGGGCAUGAACUAACCUUAUUGCAGUCUUCUUUUGCACGCUUCAUGUCCGUUCAAGGAUUUGAUACUUGGAUUCUAGAAGUCCGAGGUGCAGGCUUGAGUGAAAAUGAUGGUAUCCAUGAAUUAAUACCUGCGCUUCAAUGCUACUUUUUAUCAAGCUGCUUCAAGUAUAAACAUUACGCAAAGAACCAAUCAUCCAAAGAAAUCAUAUGGUUAACUUUCCCAGCUAAUUUUUUAUCCAAGUUGCUUAAGUUAUAAACAUUUCGCAAAGAAUUACUGGCAAAUAUUAAUUCCCAUGCUUCUGAAAAAUCCAGAAAUUUUGUUCACUUUAAGUACAGAAAUCAGAAGCAGUGAAUAGAUCUGAUGAUUUUCUCCUAAGGGAGAAACUGAAGGAUGCUUUUGUGCAUAUAGCUGAAGGAUUCUCUAACUUGCUGAAUGAAGGUGAGGCGGUUGUGUGCUUUAGGUGUUUGAAUGAAACAUAGAAGUGCAGAAUAUAGAUACUAAAUUAUCAAACUUAUUAAAGAUGCUCAGUAGUUUGAAACCAAUUGCACUUGGCAACCUAUCAGGCUUAGCACGAGCUAGACAAGAUUCUGCUGCAAACCAAGUAAGGAAUUGGAGCCAAAAGCUUGGAAAAUUCUUUGCAGGUGGUCAAAAAUCAGUUGGUCUGCAGGAGCAGUUUUCUUUGCUGAUGGAUGACUUUCAGAAACAGCUUGAUCUCAUUCUCAAGUACAAUUGGGACGUUGAUCACUAUCUGGAGGAGGAUGUGCCUGCUGCGGUGAGGUGACAUUUCCCCAUUAGUGAUGAGUUUAGACCUCAUACAAACUCUCUUCUUCUGUUUAAGUUAUAUUUCUAUUUAGUACUUAUCUUGAUUUUAAAUAUUUUAUAUGUGCAAAUUCAGGAGAAUCUUGAUAUUGGAUAAUAUUGUAUGCGUAAAUUCAAGUUAAAGUUUCUAUUAAUGCAGAUGGAGUAUGUAAGGACCCAAUGUAAACCAAAGGAUGAUAGGUUGCUUGCAAUUGGCCACUCCAUGGGAGGCAUCCUGUUAUAUGCAAUGCUUUCUCAGAAUGGUAUGAUUUUAUGAUUAUUUCCUCAAUCUUUUUCCUGUCCAUACCGUUAAGAGAUAUUGAUGCAAUUGUUAAGUUUACUUUUGAGGACUUUGUUCUGCUGAUUUUCAGCUUCAACGGAAUAUAAUUGCUCCUGUGUGCUGUCAUGAUUGUUAUUCUUUGGUAGUAUUUAGCACAUUUUGGCCCCUCAAUUUACCUUAAUUCAAAAGGUCAUGGAUGUGAUAUGUUAAACUCAAAUGUGAUGGCAUAAAGUGGGAGAGUUGAAGGUCCAAAACGCAAAUGCUCCAGUGAAACUCUUUUCUGUAUCCAUCCAUCUAUUUAUGUGUAGAAAUUGCUCACUUGACUACAAAAAGAGAAGAAAGGAAAGCAUGAAAGAAAGAAUCCUUUUUUAACUUUUCUAACAGACGGGUUGAUCUUAGGAGGUUGAAGUUCAAUAUUCAAGCCCUAAUUUGACGUCAAGAGAUGACUAAAGAGAAAGGAAUACACGGAGCCAUUUAGCAAUAUUAGACACUGAAAGUUCUCAUCGCAACACUUUUGAACAUUCUUCAUAUAAUGCACACCUUAUCUGAUUUUCCAGAAUUUUGAUCUCUUGGCUUUUCAACAUGGACAUUGCAAACCCGGUUCAUAGAUCUAAAGAUAUCCUCUGUAGUCUGCUAGUAUUUUAUCAAAUUACGUUGUUAAAUAAGCAAUAUUUAUUCACUCCCGAAGGUUACAAAGGACGGCACUCUGAGUUGGCAUCAAUUGUCACGCUGGGAUCAUCUCUUGAUUACUCUACUUCAAGAUCAUCGCUUAGACUACUGUUGCCCCUAGUAAGUCAAAAGAAACAUAUCCUGCUUCUUCCUACUUCUAAAUUUCUCAAGGGUGGCUUCUUUGUGCAUUCAUCAAACCUUACGAGACGAUGGUCUUCUUUCACAGGUAGAUCCUGCACAAGCUUUGAGUGUCCCUGUUGUUCCAUUAGGAGCAUUCAUGGCAGCUGCUUUUCCUCUUGCAUCUCGUCCUCCAUACUUUUUGUCCUGGUUAAACCCACAGGUUUCUGCACAAAACAUGAUGCGACCAGAGAUGCUUGAAAAGCUUGUCUUGAACAAUUUCUGUAAGUAUGAGAGCAUUUUUCUUCUCUCACAACUAUUCAGGGGAUAAUUUAUUGAAAUCAAACUCGUUAUUUGGUGAUUGAAUGCUGGAAAAAGUUAGCUGACCUUGGCAUGAUUUCUUCUCUAACACUCUACUUAGGAGCAGCCUUCAAACUUGAGCAUUAAGGAAAUGAAGUGGCUUCGUGCCUUUGCAAGUGCUUCUGAACUAGUUUGUAAUGCCAAUCGUUUCCUGUCAAAGCAAAAUUAACACCUACAGCUAGUUUUAUGUCAACUUGUUUGCAACACUGUAGGCCAUUGCACUUAACCCCUUGGAGUUGAAAUCCUGUGCAGCCCUUCUACCAAAUAUUUCUUCUGCUAGUAUUUUAUUGCACUUAUUCUUAAUAUCAUUGUGCUAUCAUACGCUUUAAAGCUGUGUAUGAUAUGCAGGCACUAUACCUGCUAAUCUUCUCGUGCAAUUAAGAACAGUAUUCCAAGAGGGUGGACUACGUAAUAGGAACGAAACUUUCAUUUACAAGCAUCAUCUGAACAAGAGCAAGGUUCCCAUUUUGGCACUUGCGGGAGACCAAGACCUCAUAUGUCCUCCUGAAGCUGUAUUUACGGUAGAAACUCACUACACUUAUCUGUAGGUAUUAUAGAAGAUUGUAUCAACCUAUUCUUUAUGUUCUCUCCAUCUCUUUUCACGUUGACUAGAAACUGUAAAGCUAGUUCCGGGAAGUUUUGUGAAAUUCAAAGUUCUUGGAGAGCCGAGAGGUCCACACUAUGCUCACUAUGAUCUAGUUGGGGGUCGCUUGGUAUGUGUCCAUUCUGUAACCUUCCAAUUUGCAGAUUUAUGGUUCCUCAAUGCAAUUCAUUAUUGGAGCAAAUUUCCAACUGCAGGCACCAAAAGAAGUUUACCCAUGCAUUGUAGAAUUUCUUCAGCAUCACGAUCUGACUUGAAAUCUUCGGGAGACCACAGAGUGCAUAUGAUAUCUGUCUCUGUUGAUAAAGAGGGUAGCCAAAUGAAGAAUUGCGCCAGAAAUUCUGUACAAAAGUGCUGGCCAAUUACAUAAAUCUGAAAAUGUACUGAUAUCUUGUAAUGAAGAAUUGCUGGUGUCUAUGUCCAUCAACCUGUUCUACUUCAACUGCUUUUCCUUCCAACUUGCAGUAGUCUUUUUUGGCUGUGUUAUAGCAAUGUUUCUGGGGAAAAGUAUGAUAACCAAACAAACACUCGAUCUUCAGCAUUCUAAUUGUUCCAGAAUCCAUUAAUUCACUUUCAAUUAAGGACUUCAAGCCUGAAGCUCUCAAGUACCCAAAAAGCACCGAGUUUUGGUUCACUGAAUCUACAGAAUGACACUGUAUGUCCAUCUAAAACACCGAGUUUUGGAGGCAUAUGGAAGAAAAUUUAUAACAUUUGUAAUGCAAGACUAUUGAAAGCUCAAGUCAUGCUCUCUGAAUUUCAUAACCACAAUCUUACAUGAUGAUGAGGUUGCUGAAAACAAAAAGCUCAUCAAUUCGCUGAGCAUAUAGAAUUGAGAUACCACCUCAAAGAAUAACUUUGAUUUUCAACAUAAUGAAUUCUAUACAAUGAAAACAUUAACCGUCUGCAAGCUUCAUCUAAUCUAACCACGUGAAACAGCCUCAGUCUUACAAAUAGGACAGGCAUUUUUUUGGGUAAGCCACUUCUUUAUGCAUUGAAUGUGAAAUUGAUGUCCGCAGUUCAGCUUGCCCAUCUCAUCAUC